UUCCCUUGAAAACUUCAUUCAAUAAAACAAAUCAAUCUAGUGAGGUUCUCAAUCUUGAAUUUCUUAUGACCUAGGAUCCAGUGCCUUGACUGCCCUCUAACCUCUAUUAGUUGGCCACCACUGCCUCUCUGUUUGCCUCAAUGUCUUAACAAAUAAUUCCAUACAGGCAUCAUGUCCUUGUUUCAGUUACUCUGGUAAGACCAGUGCAGCAGUUAUUCUUUGGAUUAUUUAACACAUUCCUUUCCGACACUUAAUGUGAUCAUGUAAUCCUACUUCAGUUGCAUAUGCACUAACCACAGUAGUCUAUCUUACUGUUCUCAAAGCAAAAGGAGAGGGAGAUUACCCAGUAUGGGUAACUCCAUUUUUACACAAUUAUACUCUCCUUGUAAUUUUUCAUGGUGGUUUCGCAUGUUGAGAGGAAUAUUUAAUAUUUAGUAGCUUAUGCUGUUCUUCAUGCUAUGCCAUGCUGCUUGCUUCUGUAAUCUUCACUACUGAAUUCUACCAUUGUAAGCAAAUCGGAUUCUCUAGUUGAGGACUUGCCUUUCAUUACUUAAAUUUGGCAGCUUGCUGGAUUUAUUAUGUUAGAACUACUAAUUCAUGUUUACAAAUAUCUUGCAAUCAACCAAAUAGGUUUUUAUCACUAGACUUGGUCUUUUGGCAGGAUGAUCAUAACAGAUGUAUUGGGUGGAGAUAUUCAGUUUGAUUUUUACCACCGGUGGUUUGAUGCGAUCUUUGUUGCCAGUGCUUUCCUUUCUCUGCUUUUGCUUUCUGCACACUAUACAUCUCGGCAGACUGACAAACAUCCAAUUGAUUAAUAUUUCACAUGUAAGUCAAAUUUUUCUUUAUUCCAUUCUUAUUUUUAUUAGGAUUGCACACUUAUUUUGAAAAAGGGUAUUUUGCACAAGCUUUUCUGAAUCUGUUGAAUGUAACACCCUCUUCAAAUCCAUUCCUGAAAUUGUAAGAAGUAUUUUGUCUUUAUUCGUCUUGGGCAUCAUGGGUAUAUGUUUCCAUCCACAUGUUUGGCUCAAGGUUUUUGGUGUUGGGAUUGGUUUUUAUAAGCCUCUUCAAAGAUUUUUGGCUCUCUUAAAAGUUAGGUAGAACCAUGUAGAGAAAGUAUUAUUAUGUUCUCGUAAUUGUGUAGAAAUGAAACCUGGCACAUAGUAGGAUUAGAGAGGACAGUUCAUGAAAUUCUUUAGAAACCUUGUCUUUCUUAGAGUUCUUGAGGGGCCACUAGAUAAAGAAGUCCUCAUUGGCCAAGAUGCCUUAUGACCAUAGUCUUAAAAGGUGCGCUUAAGGGAUUCCUAGACCCAAGGCACAACCACUCCUUAAUUGUAGCGUCUCGCUUACUAAGGCAUGCACCUUGCUAGUCUCGCUUACUAAGGCAUGCACCUUGCUAGAGAGGUGGGCCUCACUUACCAAGGCACCUUGUUAGGGAGGCACACCUAGUCUACUUUUUCUUUUUAAACACUUUGAUUCUUGAAAUUUCUAAUUAUAUAUUGAAAUUUAUACAAUUCCAUUGCUUUUUUUAUGAAUGUUUCUUUUAAAUGUUUAGAAUUUUAAAUUUUUAUUGAUCAAAUUAGAUUUUGGAUCAUAUUUUAUUAAUUUGAUAUGCAUUCUAACUCAUGUUUCACUUUGCUCAACUGUGCCUCGUGUUGUGCCUUGCACCUAAGCUGUAGGAGGCUUUUGUGCUUAAGUCCGGCUUGCACCUUUUAAAACUAUACUUAUGACAAAAGAGUGGAGAGCUUCCAAAACAUUGUAAGGUCUUAUUGGAUUGGCCUAUGUAAAGCCAAAAAAAAAAAAAAAAAAUCACUCUUUCAAAGUUUCGUAGAGUUUUUUUGGAUGUACUUGGGCAACUUCAUCUAAAGAACUUCUACCUUAAAAAAGGGCUUAAUACGAAAGUGAAGAUUCCUUACCUGUAUGUUGAUUUCGUCAUUAUAUUGUAAAUUAUUAACUAUGAAUUGGUAGGCUGAGUAUUGACAUGUUAUUUGAUUGUUCAUCUUUUCUGCAUAUGUGUGGAACAGGGGGGCGGACUUCUACAUUGUUUACUUGUUUCAUCAAGAUGAAAGAGUGGUCAUUUAUCAGGUUAGUUCCAUGUUUCCACUCUCCUUGUCUGAUUUGAGAUGCUAAUAUUUUCUAUGAAAAACACAUCCAACCUAAUAAUGGCCAAUUAUCAGCUACAUCACAUCUUCUUGAUAUUAUGAAAAGUCUUUCAUUAUUGUUGGAACUUUUAGGAAAGUCAUUUUUAGCUUUGUUGGAAAAAAGGAAAAAAAAAAAUCAAUUGUAGUUUAAAGUAGUGGAUCGUUAAAUAAAGUGUUAAAUAAAGUGUUUUAGGCUCUGUUUGAGAAGUGUUUUCAAAAAUAAAUAUGAAAAAUAGUUUUUGAGAGCAGUUUUUGAAAACUAUUUCAUGAUGUUUUUAAAAAACAAAAGUCAGUUUAGGAACUUGAAAACUUGAAAUGUUCUUAACCUAUUUUCCGUAUUUUUAAAUAUAUUUUACAAACAACUUUUAUUGGUAAUGUUUCAUUUUAAAUCAUUCUUUAUAUUUGCGUAAUUAUUUUCUAAAACAAUAUUUAGAAAAUAAGUGAAAAUAACUAAAAAAUAUUCUUUAAAAAUACUUUAUUUUUUAAAAUAAAAUAUUAUUUUUUUAGUUAUCAAAUAUGUUUUCCUAUUUUUUGGUUCUGAAGAAAACAAAGUUGUAUUGUUUGCGUUUGUAAAUACAUUUUUAAAAUAAUUUUUGUUUGUAAUAUUUUAUUUUUAAUCAUUACCCAUAUUUCUAUUAUCAGCUUUUAAACCAAUUCUCAAAAAACAGAUAAAAAAAACUAAAAAUUAUCUCGAAAAAUAUUUUUAAGAACAUAAAACUGUUUUUUUAUUUUUAAAUUGUCAAACAUGUUAUUCUGUUUUUGUUUUUAAAUACAGUUAACAAGUCUGGCUAUUUGCCUCUAAUGUAGGUAAAGAUUCGAGAAGAUGCACAAUAUAUGUGGUUAAAACAAUUUAUUGAAUACCUCAUCUCCGGAAAUUCUCCACACGAGCAACUAAAGGAGGAAGACACCAAGGGUUUCAUGGUGAGGACUGUAUACAAGAACAAGAGGUUAGUAAUUUCAUUGGAAUAUAUUGUGUAUAAUUUCUUCACUGUGGGUAACAAUGUUCAACUACCGACACCUUACCUGUAAGAUUUGAUUUGAAUUUUUUUUUUUUUGGUAACUUGAAGAUUUAAUAUAACCUACAUUCUUUUUGUUACCAGUAAAAAUUAGAAGAAUCGAAUUAAUAAUGCUAGUUGGUGGAAGUGUCAAGACCCGUGAUCUUCACAAUUUCUGGCUCUCUUUAGAUCUUGUAAAGUUUGAGGAUAAAUAGAAGGAAAGAAAGUGAUAGGGAAAAAUGACCUUGUUUCUUAUGAAGGAAUAUAUAUAUAUUUAAACUUAAUAAAUUAUUUUAAAAUGUUUUUUCUAAGCUCAUUUUAUUUAUUUAUUUAUUUAUAUAUAAAAAUUAAAUAAUUUGAAUUAUAUUAAUUUUUAUUUUAUAUGAUAAAUUAAAUCUGAUAAAAUUAUUUUUCUUGAUAAUUUUUUUAAUACUUUGAGAAAUUAAUUAUAACCUAAAGAAAAAAAAAAGAAAAGGAAAAUAUGGAGUAGGUUUAAGUCUAAAUUGGUUUUUUUCUUUAAAUUUAUUGAUCUUUUCCUUUGUUUUCAAACAAAGUAGGAAAUUUAAUUUAAUUUUUUUUUUUUGUUUUCCUAAAUAGAAUGUAAAAGGAUCGAAUUUAGAGUGAUAUAUAUUUAUUGGUACCAUAUCGUAAAGAUAUCAUACCAUUUUUAUGGUUGAUUAGAGUGAUAUAAGGAAUUCAUUUGUUAAUAUUAUUAUUAGUAUCAUACUAAAGAGAUAUCAUCAAUCAAAGACAUCAAUUUUACUUCAAUUUCAUUGUUUUGUACUUUAGGAAGUGAUUUCAUUACUAAGGUGACAUGUGCAUCUUAGUUUCAUUACUUUAUUGGUCUCAUUGCUUUAAUACAAUGAUCCAAUUUUUUUUUUCUCACUUUACACCUUAUAUUUGGUCUCGUAUAUUUAUAACCUCAUUACAUAAACCAAUGUGACUAAUCCAAUGAUAACACAAAAUCUUUUAUAACAUAAUGAAUAGUGGACAACUUUCCCAAAUGGACCUGGCUCGAUAUAAAAUAAAAACAUAUGGCUUUUAUCCUUUUUUAUUAAUUUUUUUUGCCUCUAAUGAGUUAUUUACUUAAAAAAAAUAUUAGAAAUUUUAUCCAUACAUAGUUUUAAAAGGCACUUAGUGUACAUCAAUAGCAAAAGUUUCAACAACUUGGGCACAAGAUAUAAUAUAAGGUGUGAGUCUGAGUGAAGUGCAAUACAAGCAAACAUAUAUAUUAAUUUUAUAGAGUAUGAUCUGAAACCCAAUCCAUCUAAUCAAGAAAAAUAAAUUGAGAUUACAAACAUUUGAAAAAAAAAACCAUUCAACAAAAAAGAUGAUGAAAUUAAUUUCAAUAUAAAGUUAAAAAGUUCACAAGGUGCAUGUUGGAGCUCAAAACUUGAGUCGUUGUAAAAGAACAUUUAUAAUUUUUGGGCUACUCUCUGAGGAUUCGUAGGCAUCCGAAGUUAUGAAACAAGGAACACCGGAGAAGAUGAAAUUCAUAAUAUGCCAUAACCGGUAGAACCCUAUAAAAUAAAAUAAAAAUAAUAAUAAUAAUAAAAAUAAAAAAAAUAAAAAAGAACAACCUAAGAAAUCCAGUAAAGCCUAGAGAAUUUUUUCGGUUUUCAAGUCAUGCAAGUUGCUAGAUUUCCUACAACAAUCUCACAUGCUGUCCAUUUGAUUGCUUAUCGACCCAUAAAUCCUCACAAAAUACUCGUUCAGAAACCCAGAAAACCCAGCUUUAAUCCCAGUCUGCUACUUGGUUCGAUGACCUACUAGCCUUCCCCUCAAAAAAGGUAAUAGCUCCGUGAGCCCAAAGAGUCCACGAAUUACAUGUUGAGGAAGAAACUUGAACCCGAGAUUAUGAGUGUGGUUGGUAGUGUUUCUAUUUCAAGUGUUUUCUUAAAAAGUUUAUCAAGUGUUAUUUCAGAAAACACUAUAAAUAAUAUUUCAACAUCGCAACCGAUUUUUUAAAAUUUUAAAAAUAUUUCUUUCCUCAAUUUUGUUGAACAUAUGAUUUUUCUUCAAAAAAUAGUUUUUAGACUAAAAAUAUUUUCUAAAAACAUCAAACUCUAUAUUUGGUUUCUAAAAAAUCCCAAGAGAUCCAAAUGAUUUUUUUAUGCUUGUGUCCACCCUUCUAGUCAAAUAAGGAGCUUUCACUCCAUGGCAGCGUUCCUAGCUAGCUUGGAAAAGAUCCUUGCUGUCCCCACCCUAAUGAUCUUGUCCCCUCCAUUGGACUAAUGGGAGGUAUAGGAGAAGAAAUCUUGAUGGUUUAACAUAAAGUGCUUCUAUUUGAUGACUAGACCAAAGAGUAGCUGACUUGGAAAAAGACCCCAAAUAUUUGACUAUUGGGGAGUCUUGGAGACUUUUUUUCCAACCAUUUGACAAUUGGGGAUGUCUAGGAGAAGAAUCUCGAAGGUUGAGCGGUUGAUUUCUAGAUAGCAGGAGAGGGUGUGAGUCGUGUGACUGACUACAUGUGUAUGGUGGCUUAGGUAUUUUUAAAAUAAUAAAUAAUUUUUUAAAUUUUAAAAACAUAUUUGAUAAACUUAUGAUAUAAAUAAUUUUAAAAAAAAUUGUUCAAAAACAAGUAAUUUUUUAAAAUAAAUUUAAGAUGUUUUCAAUUAUUUUGAGUAAUAAUUGAAAAUACAAUAAAUAUUUUGAAACCUUCUGUAUUAUACAUAAGAGUAUAUAAGAUCUGCAUGAAGAAUAAAUCAUGAAAAUUAUUUUUUAUAUUUAAGUUUUUAAAUAAAAUUUUGUUUUUAAAAGCAAUUAAAAACUAUUAUUAAGAACUAUAUUUUUUAGAACUAUUUUGAAAAUAUUUUCAAACAAACCCUUAGGACUUGAUAACUAUUUUCGAAAAUGAAAAAUAACUUUUAAAAAAUGUUGUUUAAUGCUGUGAAAUAAAAGUUUGCUUAGAAAUCUAAAAUAUUUUUAAUUUUAAUAUUUUUAAAAUAUUUUUUAUAUUUAAUAUUUUAUUUUAAUCAUUUUACAUAUUUAUAUAAUUAUUUUUUAAAAUAAAAAAACAAAUGAAAACAAAAUAAAAUACCUAAAAUAUGUUAUUUAAAAACAUUUUAUUUUUUAUUCUUUAAAAUAAAAAACAAAAAACAGUUUUUAAUAGUCCAAUGUAUUUUCCUUGAUUUUUGUUUUAAAAAAUAAAAAAUUAUUCUAAAAAAUAAUUAUCAAACACACCAUAAUUUUUGUAUUUUUAACAUCUUUUGUCUACCUUAUAAACUUUUUAUACAUUCUUGUUUGCCUAUAAAUAAAUAAAUAAGAAAAAAAAAUGAUCUCAAGGUAUCCCAUCAAGAGGAUUCUUUCAGUCAAUUCUUUCUAGUCUUUCUAGUUCCCAGCAGGUCAAACCUAGCUGGCUUAGAGAACAAAUCCAAGACCUAGAGGGAGGGAUAGGAGAAGAAAAAGAAAUCUUUAAGGUUACCCAAUCAACAAGAUUUUUCUGUUCAUUGUGUUUUGGUAACACAAGAAGCUCCUGCUCCAUAACCAUACCAAACCUAGCUGGCCUGGAAAAAGCUCAGAGCAUCUGACUAAUAGGGAUGUAUAAGAGAAGAAUUCUAGGAGGUUUACCCUAUCUGCCAUUUUUCUCUCAAUCAUGCUCUGGCUUGAUUACCAGAUCAAACCUAGCUGGGCUUGGAAAAUUGGAGAAGAGAUCUCAAAAGUUACCCUAUCAAAUGACUUAUCUCCCCAUUUGGACUUAAAUCUGGAACUCCCACAAAACCUCCCAAACCCUUUUUAACACUCGAGCCAGACCUCAAGCGCUCUUGCUUGAUUACCGGCUUGAAAAAUUGGAAAAGAUUCCAACUGUUUGAGUAAUCUGGAGGGAUUUACGGACCUUUCCGUAAAUUGCUCCUGCUAGAUACUCAGACCAAACCUACCUAGUGUGGAAAAGAGACUAACUGUUCGAGUAAUGGGGGCGUAUGGUAAACGAAAUCUCUCCAUGGUUAUAUCCUACCAAGGAUUUUUCUGUCAAUUGUUCAAGUAAGACAAGAAGCUCCUACUCAAUGGCCAGAUCAAACCUAGUGGGGCGAGGAAAAAGACUCGGUCAAGCCCUAUUGUCUUUCAAUCUCGUCAUUUGACUAAUGAGAUUUUAAAAAGAAAAAAAAAUUAUUGAUUUUCGUGCAACCAAUCCCGAGAGAAAAUUAGACAAAAAUGAAAAGAAAAACAUGAUUCCUGUCCACGGAAUAUGGAAGAAGACUUUCACUAUAUCUCAAAUUAAGGUUACAUAAAAGGGUAUUUAUAUUAAACCUUAGGUAAUAAAAUUCCAAAAAUACUCUUGAACCGCAUCGCGAGACAACCUAUCAUUCGCCCUAAACAAUAAAAAUACAAGUUUGAAUGAAAAAUGCUCCGUUAUAACAUUUGCCCCUUUUUCUCCAUAUGUCUAUCACUCAAUAUGAGCCACAUACUACAACAAUAACAAAAAAAAAAAAAAAAAAAUUGUCAUUUGGAAUCUUUAAACAGGAGGAAAUGGAACAUUGGAAUGGAGUCAACAGGUUGGGGACAAGCUUAGUUCAACAAUCAAAGGCGCACAACAUCAUCCUACCAUUUUCCAUUCUCCCCAAGAUACACGAAAAAUCAAUCAAAUGUAGAAAGAACUUACUAGACAAGGUUGGAGUAACAUCCUCAGAAUUUAAAUUAUCAGACUGUUGCAUGAGAGUCAUAAUUUCCGGAACACUCACAGCUAAGGCAGCUUCAAGAAAAAAAUAAAAUUAAGGAACAAAAAAUAAACUUCUAUUUUCAAAACCUGCAUUUAAACAUGGAAGUAGGUUUCUCAUCUCAGCUAACAUUGUACUUAACAAAUCAAAACUCUAGCACAUCAAAAGAACAUAACAGAACUGGUACGAUACUAAGGUUUCUUUGUCAUUCAACUCUGGGAUAUCCUCAUUCUGACUAUUUUGUUCAGGUGCACAAUCCUAUUUCAUCAUUCGGCUCUUGAUCCUUUUUUAUGUCAAAGAAAAGGCGAAGAAUUGAUGCCUAUAUACAAAAAAUCCUUCAUAAAAGGCCAAAAGAAACCGCGCAAGCUAUACAUUCUCAACAUUUUUUUAAAAUGCUUCUCAAAAAUACAAAUGGAUCUUCCUUUCCAAAUAGCACAAAGGAUGGUUAAUCAACAACCAAUUUCUUCAAACUAUAAAUUCAAAGCUUCUGAGUUGUAAUGUCCUAAAGCAGUCCUGCAUGAAAAACCAAAACAAAAGCAUAACAAAUUGUACUAAGUUACAGACAGUUUGCAGCAUGGUCAAGAUCCUAAGAACUUCAUACAGCAGUGUGCAAAAGUAGUGUAAAUUUGCCAUCAUCCUUGAAAUUAGAUGUAAGGAUAACUUAUAGUAUAAAUCGAGUUAGGCAAGAACUAUGAAGAUCUUCAAAUCUAAGGGUUUGUCUGUUAACUGUUCUCCAAAAAAGUAAAAUAUGUUUGAAAAACAUAAAACAGUUUUCUAUUCUUAAAAAUAGAAAAUAUGAUAUUUGUUAGAACAUCUUUUAGUUGUUUUUAUUUGUUUUCCGAUGACUAUUUAAAAAACUAAUUAUAUAAUAGAGAAUGAUUAAAAAUGGAGCACUAAAGAUAAAAAUUAUUUUUAAAUAAUAUCUAAAAAUAUAGAAAAAUAGGUUAAGAACAUUUCAAGUUCUCAAACAAACUUUUAUUUCACAAAAGAACUGAAAACUAUUUUAAAAAACAAUCAUCAAAAUCGUUUUUCAAAAACACUUCUUAAACAAAGCAUAAUAUCCUUCACCCGAAAUUUUUUAGUAUUAAUAGAGAUUCGUAAGUCCUUCCCAAAUAUGCAGAAACAUUGAGAUAAUUCCCAAAUCUUUUCAGAAAAUCACAAAUCAUUCCAAAUAAUUCCCAAAUCUAUUGCUUUCCUCCACCACUCCUCAAAUGUCAAUGCCAAAAUUCAUCCUUAAAUUUCCUAGAUUAUUCACACUAUUUCCCCUACUAAUUCCCAAUUCCAAACAUUUUCUUAACAACAAAUAAUAUCCUCGUUUCCUAGAUUUGUUGCUAUUGCACCUAAGUACUAGAGGAAGCAACCCGAACCCUCCAAAUAAUCUUUUGAUAGAAUGAGAUUCCGCUUGACUCACUGAAAAUUCUUUCAGAUUCUCUCAAUAUCCAUCUCCUGAAAUGAGCAUAGAGGUCGUCAACUACCAGCCCAGUAGCUUCUAGCAAGCUUGCUGCCAUGUGCCCCAGUCUUAAAAGAAGUUUCUUUACUGUGGCACUGUCAUGUAUGUGCAUCAAAAGUGCGUCUCCUUAACACACAUCUAUCAAAAACCACACCUUUCCUACACUUAUGCUUCCACACAAAAAUCACAAGCAACAUUAAUUAUAGAUAUAGCUGAGACAUUAUCUAAUACCCAUACUUCAACACCGCACUCCUAAACCAAAAAUGGUCUACUCUAAUCCAAUUCAAUAAAGCCAAUUCUUUAAAGCCCUUUUCUCAAUUAUUCACAGGGAAGCCAUUCUUUAACUAUCCUCUCUCUUCCAUGUACAGUCUUUCCCCCCAACUUUUGCACUUUGGAGCAACAGAGAAGAAUUAAAGGAAGCAGAAUGAUAGGAUAGAUAAUAAGCUUCACGCUAGAGUGUCUCUCUCCUUAUGAAAAUAUAGCAGUAUGCAAUAGGUUAACCUAUGUGGAAACCAAACAUAAGAAGACUGAGACUCUUAAUUGUAGGAUCACGUUUAAUGAGAAAAAAAACCUUUUGGUUUAACUUUAUGAUGCUCAACACGUUGCUAAUAGGAAUCUAAUAGUGUUACUCAUACAAGUUACAGUACUUAGGAAUAAGGGACUUGAAAGUUUAAGUUGCUUCAUAAAAGUUUUCUAGUUGCUUCUUUUCAAGGUUAGUGAAUGCUAUUCUAAAAAACAGCCUCUACUAUGAAAGGAUGCAAUAUAACCACGAUCUAGACUAGUCUUGAGUGAAUUAAUUGAAGUUACGUUUUCUUGGCUUCAUAACUAAUAGUGUAGAUCCUAGACUUACCUGGGUGAUCUCUUCUUUUCUUUACUUUUUUAGUCGUCUUCUACUGACUUAUCUUUCCAGUACUUCCUCUCUUCUUCCAUUUCUUCUCUUGAAUCUUUUUGAUUCAUACCACAUGCUUUGUAAGACGGACCUUAAUCUCAUUAGUUGAAUCUAUACCAAACAAGACAAAGCAUAUUUGGGUAAUCUGAUGACUUUUACAGCAUCUAACAAAAACUCGUCUUUCUGAUAAUUUGAUCAACAUGGUUUCAGUUGAGAACAAUCAACAUGAUUUAACCACCCAUAUUGUCAAAUUUCAAUCAAUACUAUUAUCAAAGCACUAAAGGAGCUGAUACAGAAAGAGCAGAUCCAGAUUAUCUAGACAUAUCAAUUCAACUUCGUUCUUUUUUAUGUUUAUAGAUUUCACUUUGAAGGUUCGUGACUCAUAUCACUCAAAUGAGACCAAAAUUGUUGGCACUGUCAGAAUCAGGACUCGAUUAAUAGGUUUGGCCAUUUCAAGAGAAAGAAAUUCCCGUACAUCAGUGUGGAGAUGCUACUAGUGUUUAAAGUCAAUUUUCUUUAAUAUGGUUCAAAACAGUGUUAAACAUAUUGCACAGGGAAUUACAAGAACCAGGGUGCCCUUUGGCGGUUUUGUUUUCACUAUUUCUACAGUUCUACUAGAAUACUAUAGGGAAAAGAACUUCAUAUUCAGAAAAUGAAAAUUGAUGUAAAAGAUAGGAUCCAGCAUGAAAAUAAGACAAUUUCAUUCUUCCUAAAAGGAAAAUUCAACUAUGGAUCCAGCAUGAAAAUAAGACAAUCUCAUUCUUCCUAAGAGGAAAAUUCAACGAACAUGAAAAAUCUGGGAGCAAGCUUAAAGAACUAAGGUAUAACCUUACCAGUAAAAAGAUCUAGAAUAAAUCAUGUAAUAAGUUUCAAUGUUAACUUGUUCCAUUAUGACCUUUUUAAAAGCCAUAAAACCAAAGAGCCAUAAAUAAAUUUUAAAGAAAGCACAAAUUAAAUGCCCAAUAAAUGAUACCGAGAAAACAUAAGAUGCUUUCCCAACCAAUGAGGUAUUUGGUUUUCUCCACAAGUCAAAGAUUUUCACCAAAGACAACAUAGAAACAAAUGCAUUAACAGCCCAUUACUGCACAGUUGUACACAAAAGCACCUGCUCGCUCCCUGACAGAAAGCACGUUCCAGUCUGGUCCUCCAGCAUUUCCAUCCUCUGGUUCCCAAGAGUGCAGCACAAUAACUUCACCUUCAGGCCCUCUAUGUCCUCCAAUCACGAGUAAGCUGUCACCACAUGCUUUAAAUGCUAAACCCCAACCGUUAGAAGAAUCAGCCCUAACUGGUAACCUCUUCACGACACUCCAUGAAUUAUUGGACUUGUCAUAUUUCUUUACCUCAUUGGUUGCUUGGUCAGCAGAAUAAAGCUGAUUAUUUACAACAGCAACCAGUGGAGGAGAUCGCAUGGCAGGAGGAAAUUGUGUACCUAUAUUGGACCCAGGGUACAUGUUCUCUAUCCUCCUCCAUAUCCUUGUCUCAAUAUUGUACUCUUCUCCACAAGUUAAACAAUCUGUGUGGCUCGACAUGCCUCCUAUUACAUAAAAUUUCCCAUCCAUAAAGAAUCCUGAACACAGUUUACGUGGCAGGUUCAUAUCUGGCAAUGUUUGCCACGUACCCAGCUCAGAAUUGUAGAGCUCGGCAGAUUUUAAAACAUGGCCAUUCUUGUCACUUCCCCCAGCAACAAUUGCAAUUUCCCCAAGGCUGCUAGAACCAAAGAGACAACGAGGUAAGUUCAUCAGAGGACAUCUUGACCAAUCACGAGUAAGCAAGCUAUACAUCCAAAUUGCAAAUCCUGACAGUUCACGACCAAAAACGAGCAACUCAGUGCCUACGGCAAGAGACUCCUUGUCUGCAUAAGUAAAACAUUCAUCACAUGGCAUUCUAGGUAGCCUCAUCCAUCUCUGUCUUUCAGGAUCAAAAGCUUCCCAUGGCAUUAAAAUACAGGCCAAAUAAACCCAGUGUUCAAUGACUCCAAGCCGGCGUCUGAGUUUAUACAAAUAUCCACUGCCAAUCAAUGACUUGAAUUUCUUAUUCAAACAAGCAAGUUUCGAGUAAUCUGAUCUGCUGCUCCAAGCAAAAAUAUCUAAUGCCGUGUCAUCAUUAAGACCAGGUAGGAAACUAUCAUCUGAUGCCUGACCACCAUGAUUCUCUCCUGCCCAUGCCCUAAUCAUAGGUUUCUUUUUCUUUAGUCCUAUACAGUCCAAACUAGGAAUAUACAUCUCCUUGUUAAGUAAGCCUUUUCCAACAUCUUUGACCUUGUUAUUAUUUUGUCUAGCCAAUAGAAUAUAUGCUAACAAAUAACAAUUCUUCAGCAUAAAGCCCAAGUCUCCAUCAAAGGAACCGGGAAGCUGGAAAAUGGAACAUCCCCGCACACCAACCAUGGUCGGUGAUUCAUAAACUGUCCCUUCAAUUUUCAUCUUCAACUCCUCCAGAGAGUAUCUGAAAACCAUUUAGACAAGUUGCAGUAGUCCUCUGGAUGCUGUUCGAUAUGAGUAAACAAGAGAACGUCAACAGGUGAUAAAUUGAAAAUAGAUGGAAAUUACACACUAAAUUUUUCCAGCAAUAAGAAUCUUUUUAACCAAUAAUCAGAAAGAUUUAUAUGAUUUCCUUGCCCAUAUACCUUUUCAACAUUCUAAUGAAAUAUCAUGUUACGUCAUUCACCAAUACAACAACAAGCAAAACAUGACAUAAACAACAACUUCCUGAACAAAAGCUAUUACUUUUAGUCAGAAGGAUGGACUGUCCGUAGAGAAAUUCAAAACAAAGAGAGAAACACGAGAUAUUAAUGCCCUACUGAAACAAUUUCAUUCUGCCCAACACAUAAAAUCCAUAAUUUUGAAUUAUUGAGUUACAAGUUAACCAGUAAACACUCAACUUGGCUUUCCUUGCUCCAUAACGUAUGUCACCUUCUUUUUCAGAAACACAGAGAUUAAACAAGCAACUAGACUUCAUAAAAAUCCCUCUGGCCUGCACAUGAAGUCUUGUCUACAUUUUUGGGAACACCAACCAAUCUUCAUAGUUUCAAAAUGCUAGCGUAUAUCAAUGAAAGCAAAUUGACACCUCACACUGCAUUUUAUGCUCGAAAAAUAUUCUGCCUCACCAAUUGCUGCACUGAAUCAAAACAAUGUUCUCCUCCCAUUGCUAUAACAUAAAGUUCCACCCCAAAACGACCUUGUGGAGAUAAAAAUGAACAUUUACUUUAAAAUUUCAAGCCUUUCACCAUCAGAAUUGCAUAGAUUGAACUAGUAGUUUCUAAACAGGACAUAAUUUGUGAUGCAUAACCCACCCUCAUGAUUCAAAAUGUCAUCUUUCAGUUGCUGAAUUUUCACUUCACAAACUUCCAAUUACCAAAGAAGAGUAGAGAAUUUUGCUCACGAAAUGCACAGUCCAAACAAGAAAGGCAUUUGGUUUUUACAAAAAUGAGCAUGCAGAGAAGCUUCAUAGGAACUAAAAAUACUUCUUUGGACUUCAGAAAUUUUUUCCGAGGAAAAAAAAUAGAGAAAGAAAUCUUCACAUUAAGCUUAUCAAAAAAAGAAAAUCUCUUUAAGACUCAUAUUAUUCCUACAGAUCUUGAGCAAAAUUUUCUUUGUAUAUUCUCUUACCUCCUGGGGUAAAAAAAUUCUUUUAUAUCCUAAUUCUCAAACAAAAUUUUCCCUGCCAAAGAAGAAAAAAAAUCAUCAAAAUUGAAACCAAUUAAGGCUCCAAAGUCCAGUAAUCUCCGCCAAAAACACCUCUUUACAUCUGAAAUUCAUAUAUUUGCGCAUUUAUUCACACACAUCCAAAAAAAUCAAAACUUCAAAGCAGAAAAACAAAACAAAAAAUCCAAUCAAACAUCCACAAAACCGAAAAUUAUGCAAGAAACCACGAGAUCGACAUCGCCGGAGAAAUCUCUCACCACAAAUCACACAACACAGCCUCGAAUUCACUGAAUUCCUCACAAACACAACAAAAAAAAAAAUCCAAAGGAAAACCAACAAUUCAUCACCUUGAACUCCAAAUCAGCGAUCAGGCCGCAGGAAAACGGUCGCAGAAGCGCCCGGAGAGUCGCCGGAAACCGAUCGAUCUCCUCCCACGCAUCAGCCCCCUCAUGAAGAAGAUCGUAACAGAGGACGCACCACAAUCUCCCGCCUCACUUUCUCUCUCACUCUGAAAUUCCUCACCACUUUCUCUCUCUAAAACCACGGCCUCCUCCUUCUCCCUCCACCUCCUCCUCCUCCCCCUCCUUCAUCCAUAGCUGGUGAUAUGUAUGACUGAGAUCUUAAAAUUCUCUCUCUACAACUUUCUCUCUCUAAAAAAAAACUUUUUCUCUUUUCCGCUUCCCCUCAUGUCCAUAAUCCAAAUAUAUAUAUAUAUAUAUAUAUAUAUAUAUAUAUAUAUAUAUACACAUUUUUCGAUUUUUUAAAUAAUUUUUAGGGGUUUAAUUAUUUUUUUAAAUAAGAUUUAUAUUUGAUUAAUUUCAGAAGACCGUUUUUGAUUUCCAACGUUUUAUUUCACCGCAUUGUAAAUGAGGUUUUGACUGAGCGGACAGACCGGCUGACUGGGAGUGAAUUCCCGCGAUCCACUCCACUUCUUUGUCCUCUGUUUUUCGUACAGUUAGCGCCCCUUGCGGGAAAAAGAAAUUUAGGUUUUUUUUUCUUUCUUUUUCGAUGAAAUCAUUUUUCUCAUUUGAUAAACUUUUAAUAAAAAUAAUAAUUUUUUAAAAAUAUUUUUUUUUUGAAUAAAUUUAUUUUUCUGGACUAAAAUUUUCAUUUAAAAACAUAUUUCAUAAACUCUUAACUAGAAAAUAAUUUGAAAAUAAUAUGUGGUGGAGAAUAAAUUUGAGAUAUUUUUAAUUUUUUUUAUAAACCAUUCUACCCAACAAUUGAAAUAAUUAAGAAUUAUUUUAAAUAUUUAUAUGGUAUAUGUGUGUAUGGUAAGAAAGAAAAUUGUUUUUCAUAUUUGAAUUUCUUUUGUAUUUUUUUCACUAAUUAUGGUCGAGAAAAUGAUUUAAAGAGCUUAUCAAUUUUUGGAAUAUUUAGGAUCUGUUUGACAAUUGUUUUCAAUAAUAGUUUUUAUUUUUUGAAACAAAAAAAAUGGGUUUAACAAUCAAAAACUGUUUUCUAUUUUCUAUUUUUAAAAACAUAAAAUAUGAUGUUCUCAUAUAACAUCUCUUAUUUAUUUUUAUUAUUUUCAUUUGUUUUUUAUAAAAUUAUUAUACAAGCUUGUGGAAUGAUUAAAAAUAAAGUAUUUGAUAUAAAAAUCAUUUUUAAAAUAUAUUUAAAAUAAGUUAAAAACAUUUUGAAUUUUCAAACAGCCUUUUAUUUUACAAAACAUCAAAUAAUAGUUUUCAAAAAUCAUUAUCAAAAACUGAUUUUCAAAACUGUUUUGGAAAAGAGUUAUCAAAAAAGAAAUUAAAUUCACUUAUUAUUAUUAUUAUUAUUAUUAUUAUUAUUGAAAUGGGAUCUAUUAUUUAUUUUUUAUUAAUAAGAAAAAAAAUAAUAAAAAAUUUUGUUUAAGAAUAUAAUUUAUAAAAAUUUGGAAAAUAAAAAUAGGAAAAUCCAAUAUAAGCAACUCUUUUACUUUUGCUCAUUAAAAAUAUUUUCAAUUAUACUUGUUCAAAAAUUAAUUUACUUGAACAAUUGAGUUAAAUCUGAUUAAUUUUCUUCUUCUUUUUUUUUUUUGUAUGGGCCAAUUGUUUUCUUUUUAAAUUCUUUAUAAAAGAAAAGGUUCAAACUAUAAUAAUUAUUUCAUAUUGUAAUUAGAAUUCUCAAUCCUUAAUUUUUAUUAUUUGAUAUUUGUCUAUAAGAACAAAUUAAGUAAUUACUUAAAAAAAUGUAAGAGAAACUCACAAUAAUCCCAUAAAAAUACUAAGAAAAAAAAAUGUCAAAUAAAAUUAUUUUCCUAUGUUUACCUGCCAGGCUAGCCAAGUUGGUUGGGUAGACACUGAGAAGUGUAGUCCCCAUAAAUAACACAUGGACUUGGUUUCAAGAUAGUCAACACCCUGAGGUUUGACUCAUGAAGAGUUCUAAGAGUUUGGUUAUGGAAGAAGUCUUAAGAAUUUGAAGUAACAUAAAUAAAUACAUAAAUAAAUCUAUUUUUUUAUUUUCUUUAACUUUUUUGUUUUUUUCUCUUUUUUAUAUUUAUUUUCUCUUGAUAGCAUUUUGUUGUCUUCAAUUUCCUAGGAACCUAACAUAGCCUUCAUUUCCCUAAUCAAAAAGUAAAAAUAUUAGAUAUGAUGCUUUUAAUUGAAAUUUAAGCUUGGACAUUUAAAAGAGGGAAAUUGCUUAUAAUUUUCAUAAAUUAACAUCAAUUAUUUAUCUAUUUUUUAAAUAAAUAAUAAAAUAUUUAUAUUCUAACUUAGAAGAAAAAAUAUUUAAAUCUUUGUUUAUAUAAAUUUUAAAUUUGUGGAUAACUUAUUCUUUGAUAACAUUGGUCAAACUUUCUUGAUUCUUUUGUGAAAAAAUGGCAUAUGAUUAAAAACCUUAAUUUAUAAAUAAAAUACUAAUUAUAAUCAAUCUUAAAAAUUAAAUACUUAAGUUUUAAAAUUUUAAGUAAUCACUUCACAAACACAUGUGAAUAUCGUAUUAUUUAUUUAAAAAUAGAUAAAUAAUCGAUAUUAAUUUAUGAAAAUCAUAAGCAAUUUUCCUCUUCUAAAUGUUCAAGCUUAAAUUUCAAUUAAAAGCAUCAUAUAUAAUAUUUUUACUUUUCGAUUAGGGAAAUGAAGGCUAUGUUAGGUUCCUAGGAAAUUCAAGACAACAAAAUGCAAUCAAGAGAAAAUAAAUAUAAAAAAGAGAAAAAAUGAAUAUAUUAAUGAGCUAAUAUAUUUCCACAUUUUUCUAAUAAUUAUGGUUAAUUUAAAAUGAAUAUAUUGUUAUUCGAUUUUAUUGACUAUUGUCUAGACUCUCAAAUUCUUUGAAUAUUUCCACAUUUUUUUAAUAAUUUCUUUGUAUUUAAAUGUUUUUCAAUAAUAAUAUUAAUAAGCUAAUAAGUUCUUUAGGUACUAUAUUGAAUACAUCAAUUAACAAAGAUCAUUAAAGUUAUAAAUAAGAUAAUUUGGGCUUUCUCCAUAUAUGCAUUACUUUUAAUUUUGAUUGGAAUAAUGUUUUGAAAUGAAUGUUGCACAAAACUUAAAAUGACAAUAUUCUUAAUAUUUAGUUGAAUUAAAAAAUUAUGAGAACUUUAUUUUAAAAAAUUAUAAAGCACUCCCAUAAAUAACUUUCUAACCUCAAGGUUGGAGUUUUCUAGUAUUUUAGAGUAAGAUCUAGGUGAUUUUUUUUUUUUUAGUAGAAAAAACCAAAAUAUUUUACCUUUUUUAUUCGAUUAAAAGUAACAUUUUAAUAUCAACUAACAUAGUUAAAAUGAACUUGUUAUCUAAUUAUAUUGGUUGACAUAACUGAAUAAAAAAACUCAACAAAAAAAACAAAUACCACCUUAGUAAUAAAAUCAUUAUGAAUUACAAUAACUAACAAAAAAAAAAAGGGUGACAUUCUAAGAUGUGUGUUUUAUAUGAUAUUUCAAGAAUAUAAAACAAAAUUUUAUCUCUUUUUUUAAGUAGUAUGAGAAUAAAAAAUCAAUAUAACAUUCAAGAGAUCCAAAGAAUGUAAAAAUUUAGUAAUAUAAUAAAAUUUUAAAACUGAAAAAAAGAAUAUAAAACCCAAUACAUGCAUGGUACGUUGGUUUUGUAUGAAUAUACAUAAAAAUGGAGGGGGUGGUGAAAUGGAAAGAAUUGGAAAAUGAAAUUAAUUAAGGGUAAUUUGGUUAUUCAAGUUAGCGAUAACCAAAUAAUUAGUAUUAUGAUUUUUGGUGGUGAAUAUUUUCUUUUAUGGGAUUUCAAAAUCUAUGACCAAAUUUAUAAGUAUGAGGUGAUGCAAUUAAUAAAAACUAGAAGAUGUAAUAUUGCCACCUGUUGCCACUUGUUAUAUCACCAGUUUAAUUGUCAUCAAUUAUGAUUGUCGAGUAAUACAACAUAGUACCUGUUACAACCGUACAUAGUUUUAAAGCACUUAAAUACGCUAGACGUUUUGGUAUUUGGUGGCAGAUGGAGACAAAGAAAUGAAAAACGCCAAUAGCCGUUACAACUUUUUCAAUACAUUAUGGUUUUUUGGUAGCGACAAGAAAUUAAACGUCAAUAAUGAUUAAUACUAGCAUUGUCAUUUUAUUUAAAAAUGGGUGUUGGUAAUAAGGUCAAUUGUAAGAUUGUGGUGAUUUUGACUACUAAAGGUAAAAAGUGCAUAAAAUUACUAGCAACCAUUAAAGAUACUUCUAAUAAUUAACUAUAAAUAGUUUUAUGUUAAAAAUGUUGACAAUGGUUUAAAAUGUUUUGAGAGCAAUAUCACAAUCAUUUAUAAUUAAUAAUGAUUAUAGUCAUGUAACGAGCUACCCAUUUAUGUGUAGAUAGUAUCCUCUUUGAGCUCAAGGCUUGUACAACUUCAAUAUGUGUCUAUAUAAUUAAGAAUAAUCUAUUACCUAUAAAGUGUUAAGAAUAUCUCUACCUGGUCAAUGCAUGUCUAAUUAGAGUCAAUGUAUUUAGUUGACUUUGUAAUUCCAUGGAAUAUGAUGGGGAUAUGACACCAUGUUCACAUGAUAGAGAAGUGGGAUGUGAUUUUGAAAUCCUAUGUAUAUUAGUUAAGGGUGAAGUUUAUGACAUUUUAUUAGUUUGUAUAUGUUUUUUGAAAUCAUGCAAAAAUUUUAUUCAAAGUAAACAAUAUUUCACAUGAGGGGGCAUGUUGGCAUAGGUCACAACUACACCAGUUUAUAAUUGACAAAUUAUUCCUAUGAUUCGAUAUAAUAUGGUUCUUAAUUGAAUAUUAAAGUUGAACAUACUUUGCUUAUAUUAACUAACAAAAGUAGUAAGCAACCUAAUUUAUUAGUAUUUCUCUUUGUAUUUUUUAGAAAGAAAACCUUCCUAAGAUUGAUGAUUUGUUUGACCAAAGAAAAAUCAAAAAUUGAUUUUUCUUUUUUCCUUUUAGAUAUACUAAUCAAGAAUUUUUUUAGAUAAAGAUGAUUAUUUUUAGUAAUUCAUAAUUUCUUAAAUAAGAUGAGAUUUAAAACAACUUGAUUUUGCAAAUUAUGGAAUGAAGUUAAGAUAAUAGAAUAGAUAAAGUAGUGUUUGUUUUUUAGCUUAAUAGAAAAAAGAAAAAAUAUUUUUGGUUUUUUUUUAUUAGGUUAAAAAUAACCUGUUGAUAUUAAUCAAUAUAAUUAAAGUGAACUUGUUAUCAAUAAGUUUAGUUUAGUUGGUUGAUAUCAACUACUCACUUUUAGUUGAACAUAAAAAAUUAAAUAUUUUAAUUUUUUCUAUUUAGCGAAAAAACAAACACCGGCUAAGUUUCAAGUUUUUUUUUUUUUCCUAAUAUUGAAGCUUCUCUUGGAAAUGCAAGUGAAAUGAGAAAAAUAGAAUAAGAAGAAAUUUGGAGAAUUUAAUGAUUAUUAUGAUCAAGAUUGAAUAUAUAUAUAUAUAUAUAUAUAUAUAUAUAUAUAUAUAUAUAUAUAUAUAUAUAUAUAUAUAUAUAUAUAUAUAUAUAUAAAUAAAAAACAAUCUACUCAAAACACUUAGACAUUUUUUUUUUCUAAAAAAGAUUUAAUGUGGAUGCGUGUUUGCCUUUUGUUUAAAUAUAUAUAUAUAUAUAUAGGUCAGUGUUACAAAUUAUAUAUGUCAUAUUUGAUAAUAUUUAUCCAUAUAUUAUAAUAUAUCAAAAUCAUUUUGAGAAUAGAGCUUAUGAACAGAGAGGUAUAUUUUAUAUUUUUUUUUAUGAACAAGCUCUCACGCCACAUAUUCUCNNNNNNNNNNNNNNNNNNNNNNNNNNNNNNNNNNNNNNNNNNNNNNNNNNNNNNNNNNNNNNNNNNNNNNNNNNNNNNNNNNNNNNNNNNNNNNNNNNNNGAACUUGUUAUCUAUAAGUAUAGUGUAGUUGGGUGAUAUCAAAUACUCACUCUUAGUGGAACAUAAAAAAAUAAAUAUUUUAAUUUUUUUUAUUUAGAGAAAAAACAAACACCCGCUAAGUUUCAAGUUUUUUUUUUUUUCUUAAUAUAGAAGCUUCUCUCGGAAAUGCAAGUGAAAUGAGAAAAAUAGAAUAAGAAGAAAUUUGGAGAAUUUAUUGAUUUUUAUGAUCAAGAGUGUAUAUAUAUAUAUAUAUAUAUAUAUAUAUAUAUAUAUAUAUAUAUAUAUAUAUAUAUAUAUAUAUAUAUAUAUAUAUAUAUAAUUAAAAUACAAUCUACUCUAAACACUUAGACAUUUUCAUUUUCUAGAAAAGGUUUAUUGGUUAUGCUUGUUUGCCUUUUGUUUUAAUAUAUAUAUAUAUAUAUAGGUCAUUGUUACAAAUUAUAUAUGUCAUAAUUGAUAAUAUUUAUCCUUAGAUUAUACUAUAUCAAAAUCAUUUUGAUAAUAGAGCUUAUGAACAAUGAGGUAUAAUUUAUAAUUUUUUUUAUGAACAAGGUCUCAUGCCACAUAUUCUCACCUUAAAUUAUUGAGAAAAGACGAUUAACUUAUUGAAAUAUGAAAAGUUCAUAACUUUAAUUAAUCAUAAGCAUUUACUCUAAAAUUUAAAAUAUUAUAAUGAAUUGUGAAAUUACAAAAGUCGCAAACUAACAAAGAAUGGUAAGGUUACAAACAAAAAUUGUAAAGCCAUUAAGGAAUUGUGAAAUUAGCAAGUUGUAAAUUCAAAAAUAAAUUGUGAUACUACAAUUGAUGAAAUUCACCAAUAAAUUUGUAAGGUUACAAAAGUUGAUGAAAUGUCAUAAUUUAUUAUUAUACCUAUAAAUGGAUGAAAGUAUAUCAUGGUUUUAAUACUUUUUUGGGUGGUUGGAAGAUAGUCUUCAUAUAUUUUCUCUAUCUCUCAAUAAUUAUGAUUUUUUAGCAUAAGAGUAGAAAGACAAGACAUGCAUGUGAGCUUGUUGAACUUAUGAAACCAAAGUAAGGUAAAAGAACAUUUUAUUUCUUAUUUCUAAAUUCAUACAUUCACAUGUGAAGAUCAAAAGGUUAUUUUUUAUAUAUUAUCAUUUUGCGUAUGAUAAGUCUCAACUUAAAAAAAAAAAAAAUUAAAAUGUUAUUGUAUGCACAAAUUUUGUAAAUUUUGGUCUUACAAAAAUUAGCAAAACAAAAUAUUUAUUGAAAUUAAAAAUAUAUUGCGGGUGCAAUCUCAAAAAAUAAUAUUCUUUCCAAAAUAAUAUUUUCUCUUUGAUUCUUUUGCCUUGAUCACACUUUGGAAGACGAUGAUGACGUUUUUUUAAUUUCGAAGAUCAAUCGAGGGCCACAAGUGGCUUAUUCCCGAAUGACCUUCUUGGAUGAAGAAGAACGGAUGUAGCAGUUCUUUUUCCGUUUACCGAACUUGCCGGAAGAUUUGAUGAAACUCUUUCUUUUGUUGUGAAACUCAUUUUCCCGUAUGAAGUUACCUUUAGAUUUUCUCCUUAGGAUUUUUCCUUUCUGGAUUUUUUAUUUUUAUUUUUGAAUUUAUUCCCUUCUUGAUGGAAGACACCUCUAUUUAUAGGGGAAGAUAGGGAAUUUGAAUUUCAAAUUCCCGAAUUUUAGUUGCUUAAUUCAAGGGAUUUAGUUUCUUAAUUUUAGCAAAUUUUCUUCUCCGAAAAGUUUUACCAAUAAGAUAAUAAUAAUAAUAACAAUAAUAAUUUUCUUAUUAUUAUUAUUAUUAUAUUUUUUAUAUUUGACGAUUAGGAAAACUUAUUCAUAAGAGGAUAUAUAUAUAUAUAUAUAUAUAUAUAUUUUAAAUUUAUUCAUUUUGAAGACCAAAUUAGUGGUUAUUUAAUCCACUAUUUUUUUUAUGUUUACAAAUGCCCCCACUUCAAGACGCAUCAUGUACAUGCAUUGUCAUGUGAAUGGGGUGAGUAUUGAAGUAAUAAUUUUUUUUUCAAAUAAAUAUUUUAAUAGGAAGUUUCCUAUUUUUUUUCAAAAAAAAAAAAAUUCUUUCCUACUUUUUUUUCAAACUCCACUUCGUUUUCCUACUUGUUUUACACUUUAAAUCAUCUUCCAAUUCGUUUUCUUUCUUACUUUACAUUUUUUGUCAUCUUCCAAUUUGUCCUCCCUAUAUACAUUUUUUUUUAUAUAUAAAGGGGAUAAUAAUUGAGAAAUUUGACUUGAACUUUUUCAGAGAGCUCUUUUGAUCUUUGAGUGUUCUUCAACCCAAUUUGAGAAACCUGACUUGAAUUCACCGCGAGAAAUCUUCACCUCUUCAAACUUGUAAGUGUUUUUUUUUCAAAUAUAUAUAUGAAUGACAAGUAACCCUUUUUUUCAAAGAAGAGAAAGACUUACUUUUUUCGAACAUGUGUUGACCUUCAUCAUUUGCAUAAACGAAUUUAAUUAAUUAAUUAAUUAAUUUUUUUAGUUACCUUAAUAUUUGAGGGGAAUUUUUAACAAAAUUAAAUAUCCAUAAAAAAAUGAAUAUUUAAAAUUUGACAGUCAUGUAAUCAAGUCGUAGCCUUAACGCAAAGCAGUGUUGUAUUUUCGGCACUUAUGUGCUAAAAUCUUCACCCAUGCAAAUUGGCUUGACUUGAAUGCAUAGUGGUGUUCAAGUUUUAACAUUUAAUUAAAACCAGAAUAAUAUUUGGUAUCUAUGCAAACAAGUUAUAGCCCUAAUGCUACACGGUGUUGUAUUUCGGCACUUAUGUGCUAAAGUCUUCACUCAUGCAAAUUGACUUGACUUGAAUGCAUAGUGAUAUUUAAGUUUUAACAUUUAAUUAAAACCAAAAUAAUAAUUGGUAUCUAUGCAAACAAGUUAUAGCCCUGAUGCUAAGCGGUGUUGUAUUUUUAGUACUUAUGUGCUAAAAUCUUCACUUAUGCAAAUUGACUUGACUUGAAUGCAUAGUGAUAUUCAAGUUUUAACGUUUAAUUAAAACCAAAAUAAUAAUUGGUAUCUAUGCAAACAAGUUAUGACCCUGAUGCUACAUGGUGUUGUACUUUCAGCACUUAUGUGCUAAAGUUUUCACUCAUGCAAAUUGGCUUGACUUGAAUGCAUAGUGAUAUUCAAGUUUUAACAUUUAAUUAAAACCAAAAUAAUAAUUGGUAUCUAUGCAAAUAAGUUAUGACCCUGAUGCUACAUGGUGUUGUACUUUCAGCACUUAAUACGACUUGAGUGUUAAGGUCUUCACCCGUGCAAAUUGGUCUGACUUAAAUGCAUAAUGACGUCUAAAAAAUUAGACUCAUAUUUUAUUCAUUUCUUUUUCUACCUCUUUUUUUUUUUUUUUAAGCUCUAACUUUUUCCAAGACUAAAAGAAAAAGUUAAUCUUGUGAGCAUAUCCUAAUUCUUGCCUAAGUUGCAUUUUCAAGUUUUCAACUUAGCUGACUUUUUUUUUUUUAAUGUGUCAUACACAGUUUAUGCUCAUGCGGGUCAAAAGCAUCACUUGUCUUGAGUUUGAUCAAAUGGUGAUAAAUUCACGUCCUUGGAACAACGUUUAAUUGAUGGUCAAAGAUGACUUAUUCUCAACCAAACUUGUGAAGUUCUUAAGCAUUUUGGAGACCAAAAGAAGUCCUUUGAAUUCGUCUUGAUUUUCUUUAGCCUUAAAAGUGGAUGAAUGACACUUUUAUAUUGUGUUUGAUAUUCUUCUACGAGCUUGUUGAAAAAUGUGUCAAGCUUGGACUUGAUUUUAAUCCAAUGGUGGUAAACACGUGUUCUUGGAGCAAAAUUCAAUUGAGGGUCAAUGAUGACUUGAUCUCAAGUAAACUUAUCAACAAUUUCCUCGAGUGUUUUGAAAAACUCAACCUUGUCUUUUUUAGCUUUGAUGGUGGAUGAAUGACACUUUUGUUUGUGUUUGAUAUUAUUCCACGAGCUUGUUGAAGAAUGUUUGGAGUUUGAUUUUAACUUUUGAAACUUUAUUUUUGGAUUUAGAUUCUAGGUUGCAUCACCCUUUUGAGAACGCGUCAUGCUGAAAGAAAAGAACACUUGUAUGUAGAGAAGUUGGAGAUUUUAGUUUGAAAUCUCUGAAUUUGGCUUCUUUAAUACAAAGAGUUUGUUUCUCAAUUUAAGAAGUUUGCCAAAAAUGAAUUUUUUUUUCUACAGUUUAAGCUUUUAUAGGAUAUGAGCAAUAUGCAGUUUAGGCUCAUGCUUUAAGGAGCAUCACUAGAAUGCCGAGGUUUGAAAACAAUUGUGGUAAAAUUUUAUGUCACGCAUUUUCAUCGUCGUUGGUGUAGGUGAUGUUUGCAUAACAUGUCGCACAAUCGUGGCCUUUGUCCUCAAAUCGUUUUGCCUCCUUUAUUUUUGUGGCAUAAAGUGAUGAAUUCUUAAGUACCUGGAUUAGUGCAAUUCGUGUUUCCUCAAGAAGUUGUAACAUUUCAUGGAUAUUGAAGAGCGAGGGUAAGCACUGUUGGUCUGCUACUACCUCAUCAUCUUCCUUAGUUUUGCUUGGCUCCACACCGAAAGUGUUUUCUUCAUCUUUACCUGACUCAUCUUCUUCCAAAAUCUUAUGACAAGAGACCAUAUGAAUUGAUGUCACCAUCCCUCUAUUGAAGAACUCCGAAGAGAAGUACUCUUCUAAGGUGAUAGGGGUGAUGAGAUUUUGUACCAAGAGGUCAUCAACUUGUACAAUCGCUUGUUUUCUUUUAGGUUUUUUUUCUUCUCUCUUCUUUGCAUAUCGAUGAAUAUUUUGCUUAUGUUGUUCCUUCCUAGGAAGAUUUGGGUAGAUAUGAGAUUAUUGCUUCUUGUGAUGUUUUCUUCGUGUCACCAAUGUCCAACCUUCUUCGUUACACGACAUUGAUUCAUUAUCGAAAUAAAAGUGACGAAUGGUGUCUUGAAAUGACACUUGUGUUUGCUUUGGUUUCGAUGACUCGCAUUGGAUAGUAUCGGCACAUGCUCCCAGUGUCUUAGGAGGAACAUGUAACAAAACAGGAUCGAAGGACCCAAAUGUGACUGUAGCAUGAUUUGACUCUACUACUUCAUCCAGAUCUAGAUGGAUUCUUUCUUGUUUUGCAAGUUUCAUUAUGAGAUUUUUUAAGAUAAAACAUUUCUCCACCAGGUGACUAGCGAUUCGAUGGUAAUGACAAUAGUUCAGAUCAUUAACAUGACCUAGUUCUUCUGUAUGCUUGCACUUAGGUAGCUCAAUAACCUUUUUCUAGAGCAGGUCUUCCAACAUGCCAGGCACAUCAAAGUCAGGAAAAUGAUACUUCUUCUCUUCUAAUUCCUCAAGGUGAACCGACACCUCUCAUUUUUCUGGGUUGGUCCAACCUCUUUUACUUCCUUUUUUUUAUCUCGUGCUGAGAUUUUAGUAGGAGUCAUAUUUACUAUCAUUGACUCCUGGAUGGGUUUUUAUUGAAUUCUUAUCACUUGCUUUCCCAUCGUGUCUUCAUCUUUGCUGGUCAACAAUAAGGUCCUUUUUAGUACCAUGGUUGGCUAUGCUGAGCUUCAUAUCAUGUGCUCGAGUAGCUAAUUCUUCAAAGGUACGUGGUUGUAUCCCUUGGAGGAUGUAUAGGAUACCCCAAUGCAUUCCUUGUAUCCACAUCUCCACGAUUGAUACCUCAGAUAAUCUAUCUUUGCAAUCAAGGCUUAAAGAACGCCAACGGUUGAUAUAGUCUACAACCGACUCGUCUUUUCAUUGCUUAGUGUUAGUAAGCUCCAUCAUGCUUACAAUUCGUCGGGUGUUAUAGAAAUGGUUGAGGAAUUCACGUUCCAUUUGGUCCUAACUAUUGAUACACUCAGGUGCAAGGUCUAUGUACCAAUUGAAAGCAUUCCCUCGGAAAAAACGGACGAAUUGUUUAACUAAUAAGUCACCAUCUGUACCUACAUUGUUACAAGUUUCAAUGAAAUGGGCAACAUGUUGUUUUGGAUUUCCUUUCCAGUCAAAUGAUUGAAAUUUUGGAGGUUGAUAACCCACAUGCAUACGUAGGUUAUCAAUCCUCUUAGUGUAAGGUUUAGAGUACAUGAGCGUACUCUGUGAGGGUCCACUGUACUAUGCUCUAAUGGUGUUAGUUAUCAUGUCCUGAAGUUGUUGGAUAGAUAAUGAUGUCAUUGAGGCAGAUUCCGUCAUUUGCCUCUCAAUUUGUAUUGUCCUAUACGCAUGUGGUGCAUCAUCGAGAGGAGAUGCAACAUUCGGAAGGUGGUUGAGUCAUUGACUUGACUCACCCAUAUUUUGUACUUGCACCUCAACCUUGUUUAUGAGGGAGGCUAUCUACAUAUCCUUUUCCUCGACCGUCUUGGUGAGUUUGGCGAUAACACAAGUCAUCUCUGCUAAUUGUUCCUCUACAAAUGUAGUGUCGGUUGCCAUUAUCGUCAUAGUCAUCAAGAAAGAAUAAGUAAAAGAGUCAGGACGAUUAGAGUAGUUUUCCUCAUUUGACAUUCUAGUUGGCAAUCCGGAGUGUGAACCGGUGCUAGAGUUGGCAUCGAUAAUAGAGUAAGGAGAUUUAUUCCCAAAGUCCUGUAGUGUUAAAGAGAGUUUUCUCUUGCUACGAGGACUAUGGCUCUUUGCCCCUAGAGAGACCAAGGUGAUGAGUGGUUGGUGCUCAUCACAUGUUCUUACCUGUUUUAGCAAACAAGAAGACUCACUUGUUUGUUUUGUUGAGAUCGAAGAUGUUGAUUUUGCUUUGCUACGAGGUAUGGGGCCCGUAGCGGUGUCAUGUGUCGAUUGUGCAAUGACAAUCUUAUCACUGACCUUAUUGACAUGCACAACUUGAGUUCUUUUAAGUGUCAUCGAUGAAGUAGAGAUCAAUCUUCUAACAAAAGAGAUGAGAGACAGAGAGGUCCCACCGGGCGUGCCAUUAAUUUGUACGCACAAAUUUCGUAAAUUUUGGUCCUGCAAAAAUUAGCAAAACAAAAUAUUUAUUGAAAUUAAAAAUAUAUUGUGGGUACAAUCUCGAAAAAUUAUAUUCUUUCUAAAAGAAUAUUUUCCCUCUGAUUGUUUUGCCUUAAUCACACUUUGGAAUAUGAUGAUGACGUUUUCUUGAUUUCGAAGAUCAAUCGAGGGUCAUAAGUGGCCUAUUCCCGAAUGACCUUAUUGAAUGGCAAAUAACGCGUGUAGUAGUUCUUUUGUCGUUUACCGAACUUGCCGGGAGAUUUGAUGAAACUCUUUCUUUUGUUGUGAAGCUCCUUUUCCCGUAUGAAGUUAUCUUUGGAUUUUCUCCUUAGGAUUUUUCCUUUCUAGAUUUUUUUUUUUUUUUUUAAUUUCUUCCAUUCUUGAUGGAAGACACCUCUAUUUAUAGGUGAAGAUAGGGAAUUUGAAUUUCAAAUUUCCAAAUUUUAAUUGUUUAAUUCAGGGAUUUAGUUCCUUAAUUUUAGCAAUUUUUUUUCUUUGGAAUGUUUUACCAAUAAAAUAAUAAUAAUAAUAAUAAUAAAUUUAUUAUUAUUAUUAUACUUUUUAUAGUUGGAGAUUAGGGAAACUUAUCCAUAAGAGGAUAUAUAUAUAUAUUUUAAAUUUAUUCAUUUUGAAGACCAAAUUAGUGGUAAUUUAAUCCACUAAUUUUUUUAUGUCUAUAGUUAUAUAUUGAUUAUACAAAUAACUUUAAAUUAAUGGUUAUUGGAUUAAAAAGACCAUUAGAAAUCCAAUUUUCAAAAUCUAAUCCUUCAUUAUUUUUUGGUCAUAUUUUGAUAAAAAUGUUUUUAUUUUUUCUCUUAAAAAUAAUAAUUUAUUUUAAAACCUAUAUGUAAAUAUUUGAAAUAAUUAAGAGUAUUUAUGUCAAAAAUGAGUUAUUGUUCAAAUAAAAAUAUGAAAAAUGUUAAAUUUACAAAUAUAAGGAUUAUUUCAUCCCCUUUAACAAUUCUUAAAUUAAAGAUAAAAAUUUGAAGUAUUUUUUUAAUCAAUUUUUUGAAACUUACAUAGAAGCCCUGGUUUAAAAACUAAUUAAAUAUCAAAAUAUUGACCUUCAGUCCAUCCCCUUGCAACAAAAAUUUUCUUGCUCAUAAUCUUACAUUUUUUUUUUUAUAAUAAUUAAAGAUAGUAAUUAGAAAUAACCAUCUAUAGUGUAUGAUGAAGAAAUUUUUUCCAUCCAUCAUAAAAUAAAAGCAUUUGUUGCAUCAUAAGAGGAAUUAAAAGAAGCAAAUAACAUGUUGAUUUUCAUUUUUAUGUUAGUUGAAUUUUUUUUUCCUUGUAUAUUUCUUGAUCCCUGCGAGAAAAUGAAUAAUAAUAUCAAAAGAUUUAAGUAGGUGCCUCAUCAUCCCCAAUUUUUUAUUAUAUAGUUACUAAACUUUAUUUAUAGUCAAUAUCAUGAAUAUUCAUAUUUUUUUAUGUGAAGUUGGAUAAUUUUCUUUCAUUUGAUUGUAUGAUUGUCAUCAUAAUAUUCAUAUUUAUUUUUAUUAAUUAGUAGAUUUAUUAUCUUAUUUAAAAUUUAUUUUUGGUUGUCUACUUAGUAUGUUUCAAUAAUUUAUGUUAUCCAAAUUUGUGGAUUGCGAAGACCUCGUAAUUUUAUUAUUUAAUUAUAUAUUUUUUAUAAUUAUUAUAAAAUCACGUGAGAUACUGCAAUUAUUUCAUUUUAUUAGCUUAUUUUAAUUAUCUAUUUUUUAUUUCUGUAUUUAUUGUUUGAUCUCCUAGGAUAUCACGAUCACUUUCGUUAAUUAGCUUAUUUCAAUUAUUUACUUAAUAGUUUUUAUUGUUGGAUCUCGUGAGAUAUUGCAUUUAUUUUUUAUUUUAUUAGCUUAAUUUAUUUAUUUAUUUGUUUGUUUGGUUAGCUACUUUGGGAGGUUAUGUUUUUAUAUUGGAUUUAGGCUUAGUGUAGACCCAUAGGCUUAAUAGAAACCUAGUAUAUCAAUUGUUACAUAUGACACGAAAAAUGGUUGGAGGUGACUUCUUGUUUUUAUUCAUUGACUUUUAAAAGUCUAUUGUCACCCGUUAAGAAGAUAUUUUUGACCGUCAUCUUUACACAAAAGAAAGAAGGGAGGCUAGCGUGGCUUAGGUAUGCUUUUGUCACGUUAAAGUUGUAGUUUUACACUUUAUCUUUACAAUACUAUAACAUUUUGAUGUUUCUUAAUAGGCCAAGUAAGAAGUAGAAUAGAAGAUUUUCACAUGGGCUUUGUGCACUCAAAUGAUAGGCAUGAUCGACCCAUCGAAUAGAAUGAUAGGUCUUGAAUUCUUAAAUAAAAUUUGAAGUUGGUCGGUACAACGAUCGCUCGAAAAUUAGCAGACUUGUUUAGAUAGGUUGGAUGGUGUUGAAGGAAUACUUUGAUAGAUUGAUGUCAUUAUACAUGGUGUCGUCUAAUCAUAUCAUGAUUUUUUACUCGGUUGAUUCUCAAUUUUUUUUUUUCAAAAAAUAUGAAUAGGUUAAGGAGUUGUGUCAUGCCUCCUAAACCUAGGACAUAAAAUACUUAAUGACAUAACUAUCAUGUCACACAUCAUAUUGAUCAAUAAUAUGAAACAAACAAAUGUCGAUAAUAGUCAAACAAGUUAAUUAUUCAAAACACGUUGUUUGAAUAAUUUACGAUGUCAAUAGUAAAAGUUAGUUUCCAAAAAAAAUUAUUUAUUAGCAUAACCAAUGAAUCCAAUAAUGAAAAUCUCAACUAAAAAUGCCAAUCGAAGGCUUUAGGAAACAAAAUCUAAUAAACAACGUGCAUGAUUGAUGAAUUAGUCCUAAUCCCACCCAUGAAAGAACCCACUACUCGAUCGGUCUAUUACUAUAUCUCUAUGUUGUUACUUACUAGAAGAGAGGGGCAAAGGGAAAUAAGGACUUAAAAUACGAUUCAAAUGAAUCAAAUAACAUAUGUGAAUUAAAAACAAUUGAUAACUAUUUAAAAUUUUGUUAAGCACAAGUUAUACUUUUUCUUAACAAUGAAGACUUACAUGCAUAAACGGAAAUAUCGCAUUUCAUAGAAUAUAUCAAAAUAAAUCACAAAUAUAUAUUAACUUGGAUGAUCAAAUAUUUUAUUUACUUGAUCGAAUAGUGCGACAUUUAACAAAUGUCCUUCUAGCAUCAAACUGUUUCUUCUAAUGAUAAUAAAAGCAUAUACCGAUUUUAUCAAAUGUCUUUAACCUAACUCUUAAAAUUUACAAUUCAAUUCAUCAUAACUCACAUCGGGACAUGUGAAAGUUGAUUGAUCAUUUGUAGAAUAAGGUUAAACACUUAUUAUAAAAAAAAUCAUUUUUAAUAAUAUAAUUUUUUAUUAACAGACUACCCUUUAAAUCAUUUUCAAGGUUGCAUAAGUCUUGAUUGUUUAAAUUUUUUUAAGAGAGAAUUGACAAAUAUGUCUAAUUUACCACCAAUGUCUUUAUCAAUUGCAUAGUGUAAACUCAAUCAAUCAAGUUACUAGUUUUAUUUUUCUAAAUCCAUAUUUAGAAAUUUUGAUUGUUCAAAAUCAAUAAAGAGUCCAAGAAUUUACAAACAUAUCCAAUUUGUCAACAAUGUUUGCAUCGAUGAAGUAGUGCAAACUCAAUCAAACACAUUAGAAAAUUCUAUUUGAAUUAUCAAUAAAUUUAAUUUAUUUUUUAUAAUUUGUUAAAAUUUUUACCAUACCAAUUAUACAUAUAUAUAUAUAUAUAUAUAUAUAUAUAUAUAUAUAUAUAUAUAUAUCAUAUCAUAUUUCAUGGUUUAUAAUUUUACAUCAAAUCGAAUAAGAUUUAUUAUACGUGUAUAUAACAUAUAUUAUUGAUUAUAAUUUUACAUCAUAUUCGUAUUUUCAAAUCGAAUCUUUAAAAAAUAAAAAAUAAAAAAUAUGCUAAAAAAGUAAAACGUGUUACACGUCAUAUUAAUUUGCGUCCUUGUCAAGAUGGUCUAGUUUUUCCAAGAUGUAUCAUUCUUAAAGAAAACUUCCCAAUUGAUCUCACCCACUUACACGUGCGAACCCACAAGUGUGCAGGGCACGUUUUACAUGUCACACGUGCGACCUCCCACGCUCGCUUAUUUCGUCCGCAGCUUUUCCCCCAUUCCAAACGCCCCCGACAAAUCGAACCUCAGAAAAACUUAAAAUAAAAAAAAAUUACAAAAUCUCGAAAAUAAGAAAAUAUAGAAAAGGAAAAAAAUGAUAAAAGAAAUCUAGAGAUAGAAAUAAGGAAUAAGGAAAGAGAGAAGAGGGCAUAUCAAAGGCUGAGCACAGCUACAAGAGAGAAAGAAGGAGGAAGAAGAAGAAGAAGAAGUGUAUCUCACAAUCUCCUGUCAGAAAAUUCUUUCAGAUCUUUUUCUUGAGGGAGAGGAAGUGGUUUAGAGAGAAGUGAUUUUGAUUUUGAUUUUUGAUUUUUGAUUUUGGAUUUUUGUUUUUUUGAUUUUGUUAUGUGGCACACUUCAAUUUAAGAAGAUUCUAGAGAGAGAAAAAGUGGUGAGAUUUGUUGUUCGCAAUUGAAAUUUCCCCUACUUUGAUGUGCGAUUGUGGGGGACUGGAUUGUGAUCGAUCGUGUCGGCGGCGGCGAUGGCGAAGCGGAAGGAGCGGACGCUGGCGGAGCUUUACAAUGGAACGGAGAUGAUUUUGGAACCAGAGGCAUGUGGAAUAUGUUGCCUUACUUGAAUUAGGGUUUCCUCGAUUUGAGUUUGGUUGUUGAUUGUGUGGUUUUAUUUCAAGUUUUGAUUUUUUUGGGCUGAAUUUUUGUUGAAUUGAUGGUUUUGGGAGGGGAAUUUGGGGGGGUUUUGGAGUUGGAUUGGUUGCUGAUUCAUUUGAUUGUUUGGAUGUAUUGGAAAUGGUUGAGUGAUUGUGCUUUGAAGUUGAUCUAAUAAUUUUGAUAAUGCUAGUGCUAUUGGGACAGUGAUUUAUGUGGUUUUUGAUGUGCUUAUUAGAUCACGCCAGUUUUGAGAGGGAGCUGUCGGAUGCAAGGGCCUGUGGACGAGACGGAUUAUGAUAUUCAGACCAAUACGGUGAGAAAACAGGGUAAUUUGCGGUAUCUUUCAUUGGGUUUAUUGAAUUCAUCACUACUCUAAAUCUUUCAUUGUGUUUAUUGUAUUCACCUGUACUUGCAGUUGUAAUCGCUUUUAGUUGUGCAUUUCCAUUGAUAUCUGGAGUGGAUGGUUUUUCUUGCAUUUGAUCGUGGUUACAUCUGGGGAAAGGAUUUCUCAUCCUUUGUAUUUACUUAUGUUUGUUUCUGAUAAAGAAAAAAAUUCACAUAUGCUCAUUGAUUUAAUAGUUUUUGUGAUUGUUCAAAUAUAUGUAUGUGACUUUGCCAAAUGAAAUCCAAAUUAGUCCUGCAAGCUUCUUAGGGUUGUAGUUAGCUUAGUUUAUGUGUGUUCAAAAUAUAUACAAAUGAAACCCUAAUUACUCCAUCAAGGUCCUUAGAGUUGUGGGGUUUUUUCUUUGGUGAUUGAAAUGCUUUUAAGCUUUUCUUUUCUAAAGUUGGAUGAGUAAGUGACUUUACCAAAUGAAAUCCAACUUAGCCCUGGAUGCUCCCUAGGGUUGUAGUUAGUUUAGUUUAUGUGAUUGUUCGAAAUGUAUGUCAAAUGAAACCCUAAUUACUCCGGCAACUUCCUUAGGGUUUUUUGGUUUUUUGGGUUUUUUUAUUUUUUUUUGGGUUUUUGUGGUUGAAAUGCUUUUAAGUUCUUCUUUCUAAGUGGGAUAAGUUUUUAAGGUCGUGUCUAUCCUAGAGAGCUUAUUCUUGUGUUUUUGCCACAGACAUCUUGAAAAUGGUUAUUCACUAAUUUAAAACUUUCUUCUCACACAUUAAUCGGGUUAAGCAUAUUGUCUUUUAAUUUGAGCCUAGGAUAUUUAUUUUGACAUUUUUGCUUCUGUUUAUUUAAUAUGACAUAUUCUAUUCUGUAAUUACUGAUAUACUAAUUAUAUUUGUUUUACUGGAUCAUGAAAUAUACUAAAAGUGAUGAUAAGUUCUUAACCAAGUUAAGUGUAAUUAUUUGAUUUUUUCAAAAUACUAUUAGCUCAUUUCUAUGACUUUUGGAGUUAAAAGGGGAUGAGUGCUGCCUCAUUGUUGAAUACCAUUUUUUUAUAGGUAUUGUUGAAUACCAGUUGAGUCAUAGAAAAAACUUUAUGAUAUAACCGUGAGGCCUACAUUAUUUCAUGGGUCAAGAAAAAUCCUUCAAAUAACAAGUGUGCCCAAGUAAGGAUGUUAAGAUGGAUGAGUUGCAAUACGAGAAGAUGAGGUAGCAGGUGAGUGCAUGAUUCAAUGUGGACCAAUGAAUGUGCCAGUAAGGUAGAGAUUAUUUGAUUCAAGCAUGGUGAUGCUCAAAGCAUUUGAGCAAGGCGAAAAAACUCAACUUGAGAUAGUAAAAUACAUAAGGCCUUUAAUUUACUGGCCAUGGCCUUAGGUCUUUGAUAGAGUUGUAUGGCAGAUAAGAUUCAUGUUGUGGGUUGGCUGCCCCAGUGCCCCCCAACACUGUGGCUUAUUAAUAUGUUCUUACUUUCCUAUCCAUCUGCUACACACACACACACACAAAUAAAUAAAAAAGAAACAAAGAAGGGAGAAGAAGAAUUUAGCUGAAAUGGUUGGUAUAUAGGUUUUGCUGCCACUUUGAUCACAAUACAUAUUCAAAUAAGAUACACAUUUAGUCUGAUAAAAAAGAAAGAAAAUGAUAUCACAUUUGGAAAAAACAAAAUGAACUGUUGAUUGAGACAACAUGUUAGUGUUAAUCAUAAUCACUAGAUCAGGGCCUUUUGAAUUAGAAAUAAAUAGUUUUGACAAAGUUGAUUGAGACAACCUGCUUUUCUUUUAAGACAUUGUGGUAUGGUUGGCUGAAUGGCAUAUAAUAGUUUUGACAACAGUGGAUUUUGUCACGUGAGAUCAACACAAACUUGCCUGAUAUAAUUGUAUAAAUAUCCUAUCUUUUGAGUUGGUUGUGUUGGAUCUUUGUAUUUUUGCAUGAUGAUUGAUACUGAUAAUGAACAAUUCAAUGUAUUUUGAUAAAAAUAAGUGAAAGAGAGCAUUAUGGUUUUUUUUUUUGGUAUAUAUUGGGGAUUUUGAAAUAAUUGAAGUAGGACAUGGACAAUAGUAGAUAAAAGGCUAGGGUUGUUAAGAUAUCCAUCCAUUAAGGUGAUAUUAGGUUAAAGCACAAAGGAGCACAUUUGGAGGAAACAAAAAGUUUAACUGAAAAAUCUUUGCUAGAGAGGACUUGAGUUGGGGACUUGUUAGAUGGGAUUGCCUUUUUUUUCUUUUUGAUGGGGAUGAAGAACUCAUAAAGAACUUCCUUAAGUGGCAAGGGGUGAGGAUGCAGAUGUGGGAGGUUCUAUUUUUGAGUCUCAACAGGGACCAAAAUAAAAAGCCUGAUUUGAAUUGUUGCCAUUCUCUUAUUAUCUAUAUAUCACUCCUUAACUUAUCUCAUCCUUAAUGUUGAGGUCCACCCUCCCCCCCUUGUUUCACAAUUCUUUAAUUUUUCUUUUCUACAUAUUAGCAAAGUAAAAAACUAUUUUUCUUCAUACUAUGACAGAACUGAAUUUUUAAUGAUAAGGUGUAAAUUGUCGUGUGUAACUUGUUGUUUGCAUUAGUUUAUGUUGCAUGGUCACUUAUUUUCUGCUUCUAUUUAUCAGGCAUCAGCUGAAAAGGGAAGUCGGAAAGCUUAUAUUAGGACAGAAUCUGGGACCUGUAACGUGUGCUCCACUCCUUGCUCAUCUUGCAUGCAUUUUAACCAAGCUCUCAUGGGGUCAAAGUCUGAUGAAUCUUCUGAUGAAAACUGCCGGGGAAAUGCUGUUAGCCAGUAUUCUGUUAAUGAUGUGCAACCUCCUUUUAAGAGUAGAACAUGUGAUAACUUACAAAAUACUGCCAGUGAGAUAAGUAAUCUAGUCAGUGCUAAUUCAAGUCAUGAUUCAUUCUGUGAAAAUGCUCAAAGUCAAGCAGCAUUGGAUGCGUCUGAAGAUGUUGAGAUGCUUCCAAGUGAAAAUAUUGUAGAGGAUCACCUUGCUUCGGAACCAAAAUGUGUUUCUGAUCAAAGAAGCCUUCCAAAUAAGUAUGAUGAUCCAAAGGGUUUAGAAGUGCAUGAUGAUAACAUCUCAUGUAUUAUUGAGAAUAAAGAUGAAAAGACCAGUUAUAAUGCUGACAGAAAAUGUAGUGCAGGUUCAGUUAGUAGUGUUUGUCAAGAGGGAUUUGGAAAGACUGUUCAUUUUCAAACUGCCUCAGGCAGUCAUGAUGUCAGUGAUAUGAAAAAGAGCCAUAAUAACAGUGGGCAAGUGAGUUGUUAUACUCAAGAUUCUAUUCAGAAGGUGCCUCCUAGUUUAUCAACACCUUCAGAGGUUCCUUCCUUAAAAGAUAUUGAUAUUGGCACUGGCUCACAGGGCAGUGGAUUGCCUUCCUGCAACCCAAAAGUUAAGGAUUUGGAAGAGGAUUUCUCUUCUCAUCUCAAGGAAGAAUUGCCCGAGUGCUCAAUGGGGCAUAUGAAUUCAUCAUCGACAAAAGAGGCAGCACUGAAUGUUGUAUCUGAUGAGAAAUCUGCUGGAUAUGACUCUGCUGAUACUAUUGCAAAUAGUAAAACUAGUUUUAUUGGAGGCAGUUCUGUGGUUUCAAUUGAAGUUCAUACAGACUUAGAAGUAGAGACUGACAAGGAUGGUAAGGACAGGCCGACUGAAGCAUUGAAAUGUGUAGACCAAGAUGAGGAGGUCAAGAAGUGCAAUGAGUUGCCUAAGUUACCUGAUAUUGAGAAACCUUCUUUGCAAUCUCAGCUUGUGGAUGAGAGUGAUGAAUCAGACGUUGUGGAACAUGAUGUAAGUAUUGAUGCUUUUUCUUUGCUUAUAUUAAUAAAACAUACUGGUUUCUUUCUACUUGAUGAUUAAUUAAAAACAAACAAACAAACAAAUAAGAUGUAUUAGUUUAAGACCUAUUCAUGUUUUUUAUUUAGUAAUGUAGUUUAUGUUUUGUAUAUCUUGUUCAUCCUGAAGUAGCAUCUAUUGAAUUUUGCCUUGGAAGCUUUGUGAGAUAAGUUUACCAUGAUUUUCAUUUGUUUUUAUCUUAAUUAACUAUCAUUUUACUAAAAUCAGGAAAUCUUUUUCUUUUAUGAUGAUGAUUUUCCCUGUAUAAAGUAAUAGGGCAUCUAUUAUUUUCAUAAAAAAAUCAUUAUGGUGUAAUAUGCCAUAAGCUUGAAUAGGACUUAAUUUAUUUGUUAAAUCUCAUGCCAAAGCAAUAUCACGAUAUCAGUUGAUAAUACGACUUCAACCUACAUGCAUAAUUUACUUUAGGUCUUCACUUUUAUGUUAAAUUUUAAAUUAGUAUUAAUAAUAAAUUAUAUAUCAUUAUUUUUCUACCAACUCAGAAAUAAAUUCAUAAUAGGAUAGUAUAUCAAAACAUAGUGAAUCAGGCUUACUCAAUAAUAUGUUUGCCAAUAUCAAGGUAUAUAUAUAUAAAUACUCCACUUGUUAUUGCUUUGUAGGUUUGCAUCAUGGUUCCUCAAAUAUGCAUACUAAUUAAGUUUUUUAAAUAAGAAUCAAUAUCUGGUUUUGUGUUAGAACAAGUAAGAAUCUGUGCAAGAAAACAAAGGAUGAAAAAUCCUUUUAAAAAAGGGGGGAAAAGUGCAUGAGUGCAUAAAAAGAGAAAAACUCCAUGGUAAGUAACCUUGGCUUUUCACCCCUAAGGAAACAAACCAGUAAACCCAAUGAGGUAUGAGAUCCCCAAUGAAAUCAACUAGAGAAGAGACUCAUCUCUUGCCAAACUAUGCCUUCCUGAUUAGUUGAUCUAAGCUUCCAUAAAUAGAGAAACUCUAUACUCUCUUAAUUCUUUGUAUCCAAUGGCAAUAUCUAUAAAACCUUUAACCACCCAAGACACAAUUCUCGCUGAAUCCCCUCCAAUGGUAAAUUGGUGACAACCUAACUUUCUCAUAGUUUUGAGACCGUCAAAUAAAACAAAUAUUUCUUUUUCAAUAGUUAGCCCAUAAUUCGCUUCCUUAAACAAAGCUUGAAUAUUCUCACCCCUAUGGUCCUGAAUGAAUCCUUCAUUCCAUUUGGUUUGGAUUAAUUAAGCUUCAAAACACCAAUUGAUGGACAAACCCGCUCAGCCUGUAUAACAAACAAAACAUACUAACCUUGCAAAAUAAUGUUAAAAGGAACUAUCUAAAACUCCUUGGUGAUUGAUGUUGAGAAAAUGUGAGGCAAUAGAUAUUCUCCCAAAGAUGAGUCAUUGAGGGGGGUGGGGGUUUGACAGUCAAUCUAGACUGAUUCUUGGUGUUAAAAGGGCAGGAAGGUCAUUUUAGUGUACACUGCCAAACCCUGUGUUGGAUCACACCUAUUUUGCUAGAUUGGGGAUGGAUCAGGAAAGGUUUUAUCCUUUUCAGGUUCAAAAAUAUGUGGUUGAAGGAGGUGGGCUUCAAAGACUUAAAGGGUGGUGGAUGUGGUAUGAUUUUAGAGGCUCUUAUGGCUUCAUUUUGGCUGUGAAAUUGAAAGCGUGGAAAUCACAUUUUAAAAUUCAGAAUAGAGGUGUUUGGUAAUGUUUCAAUUAGGAAGGAGAUGUCCUUCAAUGAGGCAAGUUUUUGGAACUCUAAGGAGAGGGAGCGGCCCCUUUCUUAUAAGGAAAGAUGAAGAGUGGGGAGUUGCAAAGGAGGAAGUAUUGUAAGUGGGCUCUUUUUAAAGAAGCCUUGUGUAAGGUGAUAGAAACACAAAGUUCUUUCAUAAAAUGGUUAAUUCUCACAGAAGGAGAAAUUUUAUGGCUAGGAUCAAUCUUAAAGAAAAGGGUUGUAGAGGGCUUGAAAAACUUUAGCCUAUUAGCUUAGUGGGUGUUCUGUAUGAGCUUCUAACUAAAGUUUUGGCAAAGAGACUAAAAAAGGUGGUGGAAAAAGUGAUAUCCAAAUUCUAUAAUGCUUUUAUAGAGGGAAAACAAAUUCUUGAUGCGGUUCUUGUAGCCAAUGAACUUGUAGACUCUAUGUUGAAGAGCAAUGCUUGUGGUGUCAUGUGUAAGCUAGACACUAAAAGGAGUGCAACCAUGUCAAUUGGAGUUUCUUACUUUCAGUUCUUGAUAGGAUGAAUUUUGGUCAGAAAUGGAUAUGAUGGAUUAAAUGAUAUAUAUCCUCUGAAAAGUUUUAUGUGAUUGUUAAUAGCAUUCCAUUGGGUUUCUUUCAAAGCUCUAGGGUUUGAGGUGAGCAGAUCCUUUGCCUCCCUAUUUAUUUGUAGUAGCAAUGGAGACCCUUUGUGUUUUUUCUUAAGGCUAAGGAGGGAGGAUGCUUUUGAGGUGUCAAGGUGAGGGGGCGAGGUGGUGGGGGGAGGAGGUGUCCCAUUUGUUGUUUAUAGAUGACACUUGUUUUUUUGUGAGGCUUUUAAGGACCAAAUGACUCAUCUAAGUUGGUUGUGCUCUUGAUUUGAAGCCAGCUUGCGUCUGAAAGUUAACUUAGAAAAGAGUGAGCUGAUUCCAAUUUAGAAGGGUGGAUAAUGCAAAGGAGUUGGCCUUUGAAUUAGGGUGUAGAGUAGGUGGGCGUCCAUCUACCUACUUGGGUCUUCCCCUUGGUGCUCCUUUUGGAUCAGUAGCUACUUGGGAUGGGAUGGAAGAAUGGUUUUGCAGAGGUUGUCAAUGUGGAAGAAGAUAAUAUAUAUCCAAAGUGGGAAGACUUGCAUUGAUUAGGAGCACAUUAUCUAGUCUACCCAUAUGUUUUCUGUUCUUUGUUCGGCACUUUGAGGAAAGUCAUACUGAGGAUUAAGAAGAUUCAAAGGGAUUUUUUCCUUUUGGGAGGCGAGGCUUUGGAGAAAAAAUAUCAUCCAAUGAAGUGGUUGAUUAUAUGCAAUGUUUUAAAAGGCUAUCGAGGCUAUGCAAAUUAGCCUUGAGGCUAUAGUCUUAGUAAAGGGUAAUUGAGGCUUAAGCCUCACCCUAUUGAGUUUUAUAGCCUUGAGGUUAUAGCCUCGAGACUAUUGAGGCUUAAACCUCAAAUAUUCAAAAGGUUUCAAUGGGUUUAGGGCCUUUAGGGGCUUUUUGUAUACAGUUUAUAAGAGGUUUAAGCCUCAAUAUUUGUUACUUACAAUGAGUUGUGCUUUUAGGAGGUUUUGGUGUAGAUUUAUAAGUUUUGUUUUACAUCCACGAUUAGGGUUAAACUUUUUAAACAAUAAGGGCUUAAUUGACUACUAAUUAACCCUUUAAAUGGAAAUAAAAGGAAGAGAUUGGGAAGAAGAAAUAAAAGAAUUGUUGGUCACUAUAGUGAUUGAGCUUAUUUAUUUAUAAUCAUAUUAUCUUAUUAUUGUUGAAUAAAGGAAAAAAGAUUACUGUAGUUAAUGGAUAAAGAAGAAAAAUAGGGUGACAUUCACAUUGAUGGAGAGGAUAAAGAGCAAUUGGAUAUAAUUACGAUUCAUUAAAGGAUCCUACUAGUGAUAGUGAUGGUAGUUUUAAAGAUUAUUUAAUAUAGGCUUGAGAGAGAGUUGGGUUUUAGAAGAGACAAAAGAGAAAAUAAUUUUUUUUUAUUAGAAACAAUGAAUGUAUUAAAUUAAGGAUAAAGGAAUAUAAAAGGAGGAUUCCUCCUAAAAAAAAGACAACAAACUAAUUAGAAAGUAUGUUUGAAGCUCCCAAGUACUAUGUGAACCUAUACGACAAUAAUGUACUACAUAUGAAUAUAUAAAAAAGCAAGUCAUAGCACCAUUUAGAAUAAUUUCCUUCCAAGAAAGACAAAGAGAAACUAAAUUAGAAGCUAUUGAAAAUGACAAUUAAUUUGAUUGUUAUAAAUUGUAUGGUUUUUUUAUGAUUUAUUUUUCAUGUGAUUUAUUAGUAUUUUUCUAAUUUUGAAGAUUUUUUUUUUAUGCCCUGUUCAGCCUUGAAGCUUAUACUUAACUUCAUUUGGGUAAAACGCCUUAAGCUCACUUCUAGCCUUUUAAAACAUUGAUUGUAUGUACAAAGAAGAGUAAGGGGGGAUUACUCAUUAGGUACCUUUCUUCGAAUAAUAAGGCUCUUCUGUGGAAGUAGAGUUGGCGUUAUGCAAUUGAAAGAAGAGCUUUUGGAAAAUACAAGUAAUAAGGAUUGUGAUGAUCUUGUCAAGGGAAAGAUGGGUAUGAGUUAGGUUAUAGAAAGAUAUCAAGAAGGAUUGAGACAAUUUUUAAGUAGAACUUCCUUUUUUGUGUGGGAAAUGGAAGGAUAGUAAAGUUUUGAAUAUUUUUUUGUUUUUUAUUUUUUGGUUCCCAUUGGGACUUGAAUAUGGAACUUCCCACAAAUCCACCCCAAUCCUUUACCAUGAUCCAAGCCUUAAGGGCACAAUGCAAAGGAAUUCUUUCUAGGUUGCAAGGAAUGCUGGUAAAUAGUGAAAAGGAGUGCAAGGUGGUGUGGAUGGAUUCAAGGAAGGAUAAUUUUUUUAUGAAGUCUUUAUACAGUGUAUUGGAAUCGGGGGCUUCAAUCCCUUUUCUGAUGGAUGUAAUUUAGAAUCCUUGGGUACCGUCUGAAGCAAGUUUCUUAGUAUGAGAAGCUAGUUGGAAACAAGUGUUGACCCUAGAUCAAUUUCAAAGGGGAGGGUGGUUGUUGGCUAAUAGAUAUUGUCUUUGUAAAGUCGAAGCACAAACCAUUGAUCACAUCCUCCUUCAUUGUACCAAGAUAUGGGUCUUUUGGCAGUUGUUUUUCACUAUAGUUGGCAUUUCUUGGGUACAAUCUCCCAUGGUCAAAGAGAAUCUUUUAAGGUGGUAUGGAUACCUUGUGGGCAAAAAAUGUAAGAAGGUUUGGAGAGUGGCUCCAUUGUGCAUUUUUUGGAUAAUAUGGAAAGAAAGGAAUAGAAGGUCAUUUGAUCAUGCGGAUCAAUCGGAUCAUGCUUUGAAAAGUUCUUUCUUUAGUAAUCUUUUAUUUGUAGCUGAAGUUGUAUAUGGAUGUAGGUUUUAUGCCUUUAAUCAAUUUUGUUGAUUAGCUAGGCUCUCACAGUGUGGGAAGUAGUUUUUUGUUUCCCCUCUUUUUGGAUAUGCCUUCUUGGCACCCAUUGUAUAUGCCUUGUGUGCUUUGGUAUGCUGUUCAUUUGGUGCUUAUUCAUAAAGUCUUAUUAUUUGCCUAUCAAAAAAAAAAGAAAAACAAAAGAGCUAAAAGGUCUUAUAAUUUUUCAAAAUAAGAUACCCCGAUAGAAUUUAAGAUUCUAAGAGGGAGGGUCAUGAAGAAACAAGUAUAACCUAGCAAUAGGAGACCCCUCGAUAUUAAAAAAAAAAAGAAUAAAAUGGGGGAGGAGAGGGCAUAAGGGUUUAUCUCUUUGCCAUAGAUCCUCCCAAAAAAGAAUAGAGUAUUUGCCAUCAACAAGAGGAGAAAUUUAAUUCAUUAAAUUAGGAUAAAUUUAAGCUAUAGCUUUCCUAGGGCAUAGAUGCAAGUUUUUGACCAUAGCGUUGGCAUCCUGCCCAUUCUUAACUGAAUAAGUUCAAAAAGAUAGGAAAUGGCAAAGGAAAUAAGAAUAUAGUCUUUACACUUAAGAAGUGUGCCUCCUCCAUCUGGUUGAAGGAUCUGCCAAUCCUUUUUUCUACAUUCUAUAUUCUCCUUUGCUAAUAUCCUAUUUCAUAGUAAAAAAAAGAAGAAAAUUUUGCUUUAUUAACAUUCAUAAAUGUCAAGCAUACCAAUUACUAUGAAUAUCUCUCACCAAAACCCCAAGUUUUGUAGUAGCUAAAAGAUGGGAAAAUCAUUGAAAAUACUUUAGGGAAAUUGGUGUCGUAUAAACAUAAAAAAUUUCUAAAUUCCUUGGAGGAUUAAAGUUCAAGCACACUCUUUAUUCUUAAACUUGAUGUGGGAUCAAGACUAGAGAGUUGGUUUCAUUUUUAAACACACACAAAAAAUGAAAUCUAAUAAGUAGUGAAGUUUUGACCCUUGGAUUUCACUCAGUUAAUAUUUCUUCUACCGGAGGAGACUGCUCUAUGUGAAUUGCUAAAAUAUUAAACUGCUAACACGGUUCUUUCACUGUUGUGCUAGAACACAUGUUAUAUGGACACUGUUCUACAGGAGGAAACUGCUCUCUAUGAAUUACUACAAAUUUUCAAAAACUAGUUUCUUUUUUUUGAAGUGGUGAAGUUUUGACCCUUGGAUUUCACUCAGUUAAUAUUUCUCUACUGGAGGAAACUGCUCUAUGUGAAUCACUAAAAUAUUUCUCUAAUAUUGCUGUUCAAUUGUUUUGUUCAUUCCAAGGUUGUCUUUAAGUACUUCUACAGUUCAACUAGUAUAUCUCUACUUGAACUAUUACAGUUUCCUCUCAGUGGUUAUUACUAGAGGAAAACAUUGGUGGUUAAGUUGUUCCCAUAACAAAAUACUUGCCAGAUUGUCGCCUCCCCAUUUUGUCUGAUGCCUAUCUGUAUAUGAUAAGCUUGGUAAAUUCUUUUUACUGUUUUCGAACAGGUCAAAGUUUGUGAUAUCUGUGGAGAUGCAGGUCGGGAGGAUUUACUUGCUAUUUGUAGUAGAUGCAGUGAUGGUGCUGAGCACACGUAAGAUUGUAUAGCUUUGUUAUUUAUAUUCCCACUUGCCUUUUUUUUUUUUUUUUCUUUUUGGUUUUAUUUUAUUUAUUUUAUAUUUUUUGUAUCUGAUAUGAUUCUUAACGUUUUUAUUGCUGUUGAUCAGCUAUUGCAUGCGAGAAAUGCUGGAUAAAGUUCCAGAAGGUAAUUGGAUGUGUGAAGAAUGCAGGUUUGAGAAGGAAAUUGAAAACCAGAAGCAAGUGAAAGUUGAAAUGGAGGGUACUGAGAAAAAUCAACUUUCUGGACAAGCAAAUGCUGUAAAUGCUGAUGUACUUGUGAAGUUGGAUACAAAAGAUUCAGAUGUUGAGGGAAACAGUACCCACAAAGUUGUUUCAGGUACACAAGUCUCUGGUAAGAGACAUGCUGAGAAUACAGAAGUUGGUCCAGUGGUGAAAAGGCAGGCUGUUGAACUAAGCUCGGGAUCGCCAAAGUCAUCUAGCCCUAGCAGAAUAGCUGCAUUAUCUCGGAAUGGUUCAUUCAAGAAUUCAGAUAAGGGGAAAGUUAGGCCAGUCCAUCAAACGUCUUCUACCACACACUCCAGUGAUAUUCCGGAAACUGCACGAUCUCCAACUGCAGGUCCACGACUUACACCUCGUGGUAAGUUUCAUGUAAAUUCCAUUUGCUGAUGAGACUUAUUCAUAUUAAGACUUCGUCAUAUUACUUGGAUGGAAGCUUUUGUCUGCUUAUUUUGAUGUUUAUCUUGACUUCCAUGUUUUUACCAUUUUAAGCACUAAUUUAUGAUUUUAUGCAGGUGCUUUGUUAAAGUCUAAUUCUUUCAGCACUUCAAACACAAAACCAAAAGUGAAACCUGUAGAGGAAGUUCUUCCUGAAAAGCAGAAGAGGGUUAGGGAACCUGCUUCCCUUGAUAUGAAGGAGGGUGUUAGUAAAAUGAUGGGAAAAUCCAUGUCAUUUAAAUCCUCAGGCCGUUUAAAUGCUACUGAAUCAAAAGUUAAAAUGCUCUCCCCUAAUUUUUCUCAUGUUCAGAAUCCAAAAGGAUUAAAACAGGCUAUAGAACGAAACUCAUUUGAUAGGAAGAAUUCGUUUAAAUCAGAACGUACAUUGGGUAGUUCAGCAAUGGCUGGUUCUAGUGUUUCUACACCAAAGCCUGAUCAAAAACCUGCAUCUCGUGGCGAAUCUGUUUCACUUUCUUCUAUAAGCAAUAACCGUGAUUCGAAGGCUGUGCAGUCUGAUGGGAAAUUAACUUCUCCAAAGCCAACUUGCCAUCCAAGUCGUAAAGGUUCAGAAAUUCCAGUUACUUUAGGUAUGUACUACUUUCUUGAUAUAAAGUGUGCAUAUUCCAUGUGUUUUAUUUUAUUUUAUUUAUUUAUUAUUUUUUUAUCAUCUCUUAAUGCAUUAGCUUAGUGCUUGUUUGGAUAUACUUUGUGUUUUCCGUUUAUGGAAUUAGAAAAAUAGUAGUAACUUUUUUAUAAAAUAUAGUAAUUCUUAUAUUAAAAAUAUGGACUUACCUUAUGUCCUUUAUAAUUAUUUUUAAAACUUUUAAAAUUUGAGGUAGUAAAAUAUUUUUAAUAUCUCAAAUUUUUUAGUUGGUUUUUAAAAGCCGUUAUUUUUUUAAUGUAAGUCUCCAAGAAUUCUUACAUUUGAUAUAGGAUUUACUAUCAUUUUCUGUUUUCAAAAACAGAAAACAAGAAGUGCAUCCGAACAACAUCUGAGUUGCUUGUUUGUGAAUCCCCUUUUUUUGCCUCUUAUGGUGUUUACUUAGUUUUUAAUGCUGUCCAUCUGCAUUAGGUGAAGUUAAGAGGCAGUCUUCUUCAUCUACCAAUGGAACAUGCAGUUCUUCUGAACAGAAGCCUAACCAUGCUAGCUUGAAGGAUGAACCUUCAUCAAAUUCGUGGAACACUGAGAAAUCUGUUCAUGCUAAUGAAACACCACAAGAUGGGUCACCUUGGUCUCGGGAAUCAACUAACCAGGGUGAGAAAACGAGAGAGACUUCUGUUAAUCGCCCAAAGCAGAGUUCCACCACUGGUGGAAGAAAUCUUCCCUGUGAAAAAUGUAAAGAAAUUGGUCAUUCUUCGCAAUCUUGCACAACUAGAAGUCCUCGGCCUUCUACUGUUGAUGCAUCAGCUGCAAAAAGUUCAAAAGAGUUGAUGAACAAGGGUAAUAAGUUGAAAGCUGCAAUUGAAGCAGCCAUGCUUAAAAGGCCUGGAAUAUACAAAAGGAACAAAGUUCUUGAUCAAUCUGAUGAGGCUUCCUUGUCAAGCACAGAUUUGAAUGGUCAAAUGGCUUCUCAAGAUCAAUUAUCAAUUUCGAGUAGUACAAAGAAUAUGGUUUCUGCUGAAGGAAUGGAUGAAGGGAAGGCAAUAGUCCAGAAUUAUACUGUUGACUCUUCCAAACAAACAGCUGUCAACAACUUGAAGCAGCUUUCUGUGCUCCCUACUGGAUCUGUAUUCUCUUCCAAAGUGGGAGAAGUAGAUUCUAUUGUCCCUGCUGAUGUAAAGCCUUCUAUGAGAGACAUUUCUAGUGAUGCUUCCACUGCAGCUAAUGUUCUUUGGAAGAUGCCUGUCAUUCCAGAGCAUGAAUAUAUUUGGCAGUAUGAUUCUUUCACUUUUCCUGUCUCAAUACCUCUGUUUGUCAGCCUGAGACCUUGAAACUUUUGUGUCUUUUAGUUUCAUCAUAUGUGUAUAUAUAUAUAUAUAUGAAGUCUGUUAGUUUCAUCAUAUUCAUCUUUGGAAAUAGUUUACAUCUUGAAAAAUUUAACAUGCAGAGGGGUUUUUGAAGUCCAUAGAAGUGGAAAAGUGCCAGACUUAUGUGGUGGAGUGCAAGCACACUUAUCAACCUGUGCGUCACCUAAAGUUCUUGAAGUGGCAAAUAAGUUUCCCCACAAGGUUCUCUUGAAUGAAGUUCCUCGCUCGAGUAUGUGGCCAGCCCAGUUUCAAGAUUGCAGUGUUAAAGAAGAUAACAUUGGGCUCUAUUUUUUUGCUAAAGAUCUUGAAAGGUUAAUGAUUACAGAUAAUUUCCUUCUUAAUGGUCUCUUUAAUGUGUAUAAUUUUACCUGUUCUCUUAAAUUUUUCUCUGUGGUCCAGUUACGAGAGAAACUACAGGAGUUUGUUGGAGAGCAUGAUGAAGAAUGAUUUAGCUCUUAAAGGAAACAUUGAUGGUGUUGAACUCCUGAUAUUCCCAUCCAACCAGCUUCCUGAGAAAUCUCAGCGUAAGAAUUACUUGUAAAACAAAAUUCUGUUUUGUUCCUUAUAAUCAUUGUUCUAGAAUGUCUUUGUGGCUUACUCAAGGUUUGCCUUGAAGUGAGGCUUUACAACCUCAUUACCUCCCAAAGUAUUUUGCUAGAGUUAGAUCAGUCCCAACAGCUUUACCAAACACACUACACAUGACUAAGGUUUAGUUGUAACUAUUCUGUCUCAAACUUCUCUGACAUGUAAUACAUUUGUUUUCCUAUGCCAGUUAUGUUCUUUGAGGUUUACAACUUGUUGCAAGGACAAAUUUUGGGUCGCAACCCCCAUCUUUGUUUAAUAAUGCCUGUGAUUAUGCCAUUAUGCAGAAAUAUGAACUUUUAUUGAACUCCCAGUUCUGGUUUUGAAUAGAUUUCUGUAACUUACAAAAUAUAUGAUCCAUUGUUGGCAGGUUGGAAUAUGAUGUUUUUCUUAUGGGGUGUAUUCAAAGGAAGGAGAUUGAAUUGCUCAGAACAGACAUCUGGUUCUUCAAAGGUUGUCUGUAUUCCUAGUUUGAAUACAGUACCUGAGGAUGAUGAUAUUCCCAGCAUUGCCAUGACUUCAUCUGAGAACACAUGCUCACCUGAACGUAUGGCUAAAGAUGUAAACACAUGUGACAGAUCAUGCGAUGUAGACCUGUCAUCCAUGGCUCCUGCCUUAGUGGACAUACCCUUUGUUUCAUCAUCUGAAACUGUAAAUGGAAAUCACAAUACGAAAACACCUUCAUGCGAUGAUAAGUGCUUAGGUUCACAAGAAAAAAUGGAGCAGCAGGAGACCAAACUUGAUGUCCACUUCUUGUCCAGGAUUCCAACAGGCAGUUCACAGUUGUGCCCGGAAGUGAGAUGCACCAGUACUUCCCUGGUAAUGUUUCGUUACUUAUCACAUGCUAACUGCCUAAUUAGUAACUCAAUUAAUUACUGGAUUUUAUUUUUUGGAACAUUGUCCAUGGAACAAACAUGCAUUGGUUAGCGGAAAUCCCUUUUUGUUUUUUCAUUUACCAUUAAGAAACUGGGGAAUGUGGAGGUUGGCUUCGAAGGAUGGAAUAGAAAUCCAGAGAAGAGAUCUUCUCACCAUGGUCAACCUCAUUAUGGAGCUAGAGGUAAAUUAUGAACUCUGAGGAUAUCCUUCCUUUAAUGGAGCUGGCUUAGAUUCAUCUAGAUAUAGAAUACCUGAUGGAGAGAUCAUUUGCAGUGGAGUUGUUGGUCUAAGCUUUGGAUGAGCUCUGUGGGACAAAAAGGGUUUUUAUCAGAACGAAACCCCAAGGCAAAAUUUCCGUUCUCUUGAGGUUCUACAUUUUAAUGGGUUUUAUUGUCUGAUAAUUAAAUAAUAUUCAUGCAUGCCAAAAUUGAAUUCCAUGUUGUGUGGAAAUCCAGUUAGAAGAGUGUCUCAAAGAAGUAAAUUGUUUACCUUCUCCCCUUUUUUUUGCAUAUAUUUUUUUGAUCUCCAUGGGCAUGAAUAUAAAAGCAUUGUUAUUCCCCAGAAUUAAAAACAAUUUUUGAAGCAUUCUUAUCACUGGCCUUACAGUGUAUGUUAAUGUUAUCCUUUCUUCCUGCAGAAAGAGCGUAGCGAUCCAGAUGGCAAACUGGAGUCGAAGCUUCAACCUUCUGUUCCAUUAAUUAAGAUAGGAAGUGGUUCGAAUAGAGUUGAGAAGUUGCCAGUGCAUCGGGCCGCAUCACUUGAUAGGCAGGAUGUUCUGCAUCAUCCUUUCAAGAUGCUUCCCAUUGGUUCUCAAGAGGUAGGUGUCAUGAGGAGCAUCAGUGAGGAGAAGCUACAUGAUAGAAUGAGCAGCAUCACGAGUCGAGCAAAAUUUGAGAUUGUCUUGAUGGACGAAGAUAGGGUUAUGGACACAGAAGCUGAUGGAGAGGGUUGGCAAUUCAACACUAAACGGCCACGCUCUGAUCCUACAGAGACAGUGUCACAACCUUCUUCUACUGGCACAAGUCAAGGAUUGCCAUGGAAUACUGGGAAUAGUAUUUUGGUUGAUGGAGAAAGUGAGCGCAAGAAACUGAAGACAAGUUAUACUGGAGCAUUUGUUUGUAACAGUUCUAGAAAUACGAGUUCUUUGAGUGAUGGUUUUGCAUCACCCAUAAACGAUCCGGCUCCUGUUGUUCCACCUAUCAAUGAAAAAAGAUUCUUUCCUGUAGAUUUGCAUCCUGUGAGGAACUUCCUCUUGGGGGAUGACUCCAUGCCUCGGAAAGCAUUCUCACCAGAAUAUGAGGAUCGACUUCAUGAUACAGUCCCAAAUCUUGAGCUUGCCUUGGGGGCUGAAAAGAAACCAUCAAAACAAGGGAUCCUGCCUUGGUAUCUUGGGAGUGCAGACAAGAAAACCGAGCAGGACAAGCCUCCUGAUAUGGUGACAAUCAAGGAAGACGACGAUGCAGCUUCUCUUUCCCUUUCUCUUUCCUUUCCAAUCCCAGAGAAGGAACGAGCUGUGAAACCUGUCCCCAGAACUGAGCAGCUCCUUCCUGAAAGGCCCAAUGUGAAUACAUCCUUCCUCCUAUUUGGGAGGGGCUUCCCAGACAGUUAGACAGACUCGUGGUGAUGCACAUUGUAUACAUUAUGAUGCCCCAAUCGCUUAGAACCAUAAUCUAUUUCCAUCUGUUCAUAUAACCCAUACAAGAUCAAGUAAUAAUUUUCUUUUUUGCCUUUGUUUUCUCAGUUUCCUUUUUUUGAGUGCAUAGUAACGGCGGUUUGUAUAUAAAGAGGAUGAAAGCCGACACAGUUUCGAAAUGCCAUGAGGGAUUUCCAGAACAAUGUGUUGGUUUUUUAGGUUUUUGUCUCUGUUUUUCUUCUCUAUAUCUGAAUUGCUGGCACCAGGAUCAUAGGGUAUUAACAGGUGAGACUUGUGAUGGACUUGGUUUGCAGUGGAGGGUUUGCCCAUCCCCUCCAUUCUCAUUUUAUUGAGAUUACUAAUGGAGUUGAUAUGUUGAUGAGAAGAGUUGGUUGUUUUUAAGACAUGCUUUUAUAGAUAUUAUUAUACGAUUACAACCCGUCUUUGCUCAAUGGAUGUGAUAUUCUCAUGCUCAUGUAGCAUUGAUUCAGCAGCAGUAGAUGGCAAAGUUAGCUUUGUUGCCAUCUACUUGUGCUGUCGGCAGUGCCUUCUAACAAUGACUCGAGUCUUCGGUUUCGACCUUGAGCCUUCCUAGUAUUUAAGUGGUGUGGCUAGUGUCUUCCGAUAAAUACCUUGAUCUUUGGUUUGAUUUGCCAUAGAUUUUUUGCAUAUUGUGCGAUGACACUUUGGUAGCAAUGACUGAUAAAAUAGCUUUGUUGUCAUCCACUGAUGUUAUGGGUAGCGCCUUCUGACAAUGAAAUAGAGUUUCCAAUGUUGAGUUUUCCUAGUCUUUGAAGUGGGGGUGAGAGUACUUGAAUAAGAUGAAAGGGUUGACAUAUAUAUAUUUUUGGGGUUGCUUUAUUGAUAAGGGUUAAAUACAUUUUAUCAUCACGAUCUUUGAUAGAUUUUAUACCGUCAUUGCAUAUUCAAAAUCAAACACCUUGUCGUUCAAAUUUGUUUUAUAUUUUAUCUUCUAUUACAAACUCCACAAAAUUAUAAAAGAGAUUACUCUUUUGAACACCUUGUUUGAAUAUCGAUUCAAAUUUAGGUAAAACUAACCUUGAAUUGAUAGUCUUGGAGUGACAUUUCCCGAACAUUUUCAAAAUAUAAUAAUCACCAGUUUUGAUUUUUGAUUUUAAAGAGAUGUUCGUAUGAUUAUUUAUGAUUAUACAGUUAUGAAAUAUGACAACUUCAAAUUUGGACGAUAAAUUUUUUUCUUUGUAUUUCAACUUUGGUUUUUUUUUUUUUUUUUAACAAGUUUUCGGGUACUGUGUUGCUCUUCAACAAAUUUGAGGGAUAAAGUAUCGAGUUUUGAAUGUUAUGGAAUAAAACAUACUGAAAAGAAUAUUUUUAGCUUUAUAGACAAUGAUAAGGGUUGACUCAUAUUAUUUAAGUUUGCUUUAUUGAUAAUGGAGAUAUAUACCUCGAAGUUGGUUGGAUUCACCUUAGAUUUUUGGUAUAUCACAUUUAUGGAGGUCUAAUUCAAUGCCGACCUUGGAUUUUGCUUUCCUCUUUGUUUAUUGUUUUUUCUCUAUAAUAAAUUAGAACUGCUGGCCUUUAGCAAGAGGACGGAGCAACCAAAGGCGAAAGCUUGGAGUUUAGCUGCUGGGUUUUUCGAAAAUUUAAGAGUGACCGACUUCUUCCUAUUCCAAAGGCUCAUCUUCUCUACUCACAAAGUAAGCUAUGUUUGGUGGCCAAGAAAAUUAAGGGAGGAAAAUGAUAAAAGAAGAAAAAACUUUUAACGACUUUCCAUUGUGUGAGAUGAGAGAAAACUACUAUUCUAAUUUUGAAAGGUUAUCUUAUUAAUGAAAAAAAGGAAAUAAAACUUUAUAAUAAUCCAUUUUCCUUUUGUGAAUCUCUAAUAAUAAUUGGGUAUUGUUUGGCAGCCAAUUCAAAUAAUAUUCUAGAUUUUUAAAAGCAGGGAUAUAAUCCAUGCAUAAAAAACUUCUGGUUUUUGGCUAAUUCACUAAAUAUCAAAAUUUCGUUUUCACCGUUUUUCAAUUUUGUUUUCCAAAAGUUAUGUUUUCAAUAAAUCCAAUUUAAUAAGACCCAUUAAUUUUUAUAUUAUACCAAACAUGUUUCGCAAUUUUUUGUAUUUAAAGCCCAAUUUAUAUCUCCAUAUAAACCUAUGAUGGGUUUAGGGCUAGAGAUAGUGAUAUAUACAUGUUCAAUUGAAUAAAUCCCCCUUUUGCUUUAUUGUCUUCUUCCUCGAGAGGUUGCCUAUACUACCUUAUGCAAGAUUGUGAUAUGAGUCAUCAUGGUAGACGACUAGUGAUUAUCAAGAUCUUCCUUUCAUCAUCAGCAAUCAGACAUAGGAACAUUCAAGUCUAGGUAUUUUCUAAAAACCUUAAAAGAUUUAAAAGUUUAAAUUUCUACUGUAUAUUUCAUAGCCCUUUCUCUCCAAAACCAACAUCUUGAAUCUAUCAACGUCACCGUUGAUUUAAGAGCUCAAUGAUCUUACCAAGAAUGACACUUUGAAAUUAGUUUCCUCUCGACCUCAUCAAAAUCUUGUCAAAUAUCAAUGGGUAUUCCUUGUAUAUCACCAUCUGGAUGUCCAUAUUGUAAGAUAAAAAGCCGGUCGAGUUGCUAAGGGCACUAAUAACCUAAGUUUAAUUACCAUGAUACUUUUAAUGUAGUAAUUAAGCUAACUAUCAUUUCUUUUGCCUUGAGUAAUGGUUGACUGCUUUGUCAAAUAGAUGUCAAAAUACUUUCUUAUGUUGCACUCCUCGUGAGAAAGUUUACAUGUUGCAAUCUCUUGGCUUUAUUGAUCAAUCUCUCCCAAACCAUGUUUGUUAGCUUUAGAAGGUAAUAUAUGGGCUCAAACAAGUGUCUCAUGCUUGGUACAACGAGUUGAAGGAGUUCUUCAUCUCCAAUAGGUUUCAAAACUACAAAUCUAAUGCCUCUUUAUUUGCUUAUAGUGUCUAUGGCUCAUUAAUGUAUUUCCUUGUGUAUAUAGAUUAUCUUCUUGUUAUAGGUAGCAACUUGAUGCAAUUUCAAUAGCUUAUAAAUGCCCUCUCUAAUUGAUUCAUUCAAAGAUCAUUGCAACUUGCAUUACUUCUUGGGCAUCAAAGUAUUGCCCAUAUUGUUUGGUCUCUUUCUCACACAACAUAAGUGUUAGGAAUUUGAGGCUAAUCCAAACUAUGGUAAUCACCCUAGAGGGGGGGUAAAUAGGGUGAUGGUCUCUUUUUCACAAAUUUAAACUAUGCAAAAAUAAGAGACAAUUAUAUGCAAAUAUAUAAUAAACAAAAUAAACACAAUUGCAUAUAAUUUAAAAGAGUUAGGGAAGAGAGAGUGCAAACACGAGAGUUUAUAAUGGUUCGACACUUCCUUGCCUACGUCCACUCUCCUCAACCUCUUAACCGAGUAAGGGUUCCACUAUCUUGAAGCUUCAACCAAACUUCCAAUCUCUUUACAAUUGGAUUAUGGUUCCAAUUCACCCUCUUGGACUUUUGGCUCUAAGUACCCUUUACACUUCUUCAAGAGAUAUCACUCUCUUGAAUAACCUCUCAAGUGAUACCCCUCACUUGAGAAAAUUCCUCACAAAGAUAUACAAAUAAUGAUCUCUUAAAAUCCUAGUAAUAAAACUUUAGGUACAAAGAUACAAGAAAAACUAGGAUUGAAUGGUGCACUAAAGAUAUGCAAGUUAUGAAACAAUGGUGCACUAAAAAACACUCUUCCAAGGCUCAAAUAUAAUCAAGAAUGAUUUGGGAAGGUUUUGCUCAUGAAACAAUGAAGAUUGGAGCCUUUUUAUAGAAGAAAAAAGCCAAACUAGCCGUUGGGGGUUUAACUGGUCGAGCUAGGGGUCGACCGGUUGACUAGUCGUUAGGAAAAGUGACCGUUGGGCCUCAACCGGACCUCAACCGGUCCUCAACUGGACCUCAACCGGACCUCUACCGGAUCUCAACCGGUUGAGGUUCAACCUUAACCGGGAAGAGAAGGCCACUGGGAGACAGAGAAACUUUUUGGCCUCCCUCAAUCGGUCCUCGACCAGACGAGCACAACCGGUCGACCAGUUGAACUGGUUGAGCCAUUUUUUUUGGCUCAACACUCAACCCUUUUCAACUUAACACCUUUAACACAAGUUUGAAAAUCAUUUAACACAUGCUUUUAGUUGAAAACAUGAAAUCAUCCAAUUCUUAAGAUAUUUAAAACAAUAUUACUCUUGGAUGAUUUUGGUGCAUAAAUAAAGAAUGAAAUGCAUGAAAGUCCUAGUGCACCAACAACUUUACAAAGAGAUCUUAAGAAGCUUUGGUCUUGAAAAACUCUUCUCUUUGAGGUGGUCUUCUUCUUUAUGAUUUCUCCUUGGCUUGAUUUGUCUUUGGAUUGCCACUUUGGAAGUUGUCUUGCCUAAUCACACUUGAAAUAUGAUCAUUAGUUCUAAACCUUGUUUUGUUAUCAUCAAAAUCAAGAUUAACCAAACCUUGGUUUCACAAUAAGUACAUAAGGGGUCUCUUAAGUAGCACCAAAAUGGAUGGAGUCAAAGAAGUCCUCACACCAAUGACAAUCACUAAGCCUCUUGUUCUUAAUGAGAACUUCUCUUUUGUUGAUGCCAAAGAUUACUAGUAAGUAAUUGGUUCUCUCUAGCCUUUAUCACUUACCUGUCUAGGUAUUUUGUUCAUUAUUGACAAGUGACACAAUUUAUGCAUGAUUUGACUCAAUUUCAUUAGACAACUGCAAAACAACUUCUUAUUACUUGAAUAACACAUUUCAUUAUGAUUUAAAUCUCAAGAGAAAUCAACCUUUAUCUCUUCAUGCAUUCUUUGAUGUUGAUUAGGCUGAUAAUUAUCAUGAUUAAAUUUCAAUAACUACCUAUAUUGUAUACUUAGAUGGUAAUUCCAUCUCAUGGUCAUCUUGAAAGAAAACGAUGGUUGUGAGGUCCUCCAUAGAAGUUGAGUCCUGCAAUGUUGCCUUUACCAUUAUGGAAUUAGCAUAGGUUCUAUCCUUUCUUCAUGAGCUCACUGUUAAGGUUCCCUUACCUUUCAUCUAUUGUGAUAAUGUUGGAUCUAUGUGUCUUUGUGCUAACUCGAUAUUUCACUUUUGUAUGAAGCAUAUUGUAAUCAAUUUUCAUUUUGUUUGGGACAAGUUUGCUAAUGGACAAUUUAAAGUCUCAUGUCUCCAUGCACGAUUAGCUUGCUUACCUAAACCAAACCACUCUCUAAACAACAUCAUCAACUUCUCAGGUCCAAAAUUGGUGUCUCUAAUGGGAGCACUUUCUUGUGGGGGAGAGAAUCGACUUAACAAUUUGAAUCCAAAAUUAUCAAUCAAUGAUUCACCACGACAACUAGUUGUAACUAAUCUUAUGAUUAUGGAUAAUCUCUUUUGAAUUCUUAUAACUUAAUUGUAUCCUAAAAUCUCUAUUUGUGAUUGAAACUUGUUUAUAGCUUGUGAAAGUGCAUAUAUUGGUAUCUCACGCCUAUAAAUGAGUUGAGCCAUUUUUCAAAUUCCAUGCGCAACUUAGUUUAUGUCUCCCACCAUGUAAAAGGUCAUCUUCAUCAAAGCAUCACACUCUUGAGCUCAUCUUCCUUUAUAGAAUCUCAAUUAGGCGUAUACUUCUCAAUUGUAUCAGAUAUUAUCUCACUUCUUAAUUGUGGCGAAUAAUGUCUCAAUUCAUUUUUUUCGACAAGGAAAGAUUUAUCCUUUGAUUUUUUUUUUUUUUACUUAUCUUUAUCUUAUUAGAUAAUAUGGUCUGUUCUCAUAUAUAUAUAUAUAGAUAUUCAAUUUUAUAUUUAAUUUCUUUGGGCUUUAUUCUAAAAUUAAAUAUGUUAAAUAUGAUUACAUAUAUUAUUUAAUAAAAAAUAAUAUUCAUAAAUUUCAACCUAAAAAUUGACUAAUAAAAGUUAUAAUAAAAACUUAGUUUAAAAAUUGAUAGAAAGAUGACAUAAUUAAUACAUGUUUUUAUGUUAUAACUUUUACCUUAAGAUUAACUUGUAUAUAAAAAUAAAAUUGGUUAAUAUAUCUCAUCACUUAUUUUAUCUUAUAUUUGGUUAAAUAUAUGAUAAGAUCCAUUACCAACUAAAUAUAGGAUAUAAUAUAUUAUUUCUUCUUUAUCUUACAUUUAGUUAACCAAAUAUAGCCUAGAAGAUUGAAACCCUAAUCUCCUAUUAAUUGUAAAUAACAAAGUUAUUCUACAUCAAUUUUGAAUACGAGAAACACAUCUUUCCUAAUGAUAUGAUUCCAAAUUGUUUUACAAUGAAAAACUUUGGAGUUCUUUUUAUUCACCUAUACUUGGAGGAGAGUUUUAAUAUGCCUUGUAACUAAGGUUAUAAGAGGAUUUUUUGACUUCCACUCCUUUCUCUAAUUUCUUAGAGAUUUUUUUUUGUUUCAAAUAUACUUUAAAUUUUAAUUUUAAUUUUUAAAGAUAGAAAAUUAGGAUAAAUUUGGAAGAAAAAAAAACAUGAAAACAUGUUUGUCAAUAGAAAAAAUAGACAAUGAUUUUUUAUUUUUAAGAAUAGAAAAUAUAUUUGUUUGAGAACUAUUUUUUAUAAUAGUUUUAUGUUCUCUAGAACUUAUAAAAAAAACGUUUGGCAACUAAAAUCUAUUUUCUGUUUUCUAUUCUUAAGAACAAAAAAUAUAGUCUUUUCAGAGAACAUCUUUUAAUCGUUUUCUAUUGUUUUAACUUGUUUUCUAAGAACUGUUUUAUGAAAUAAUUAUACAAAUAUAUAAAGUAAUUAAAAAUAAAAUACUAGAUAUAAAAAUUAUUUUCAAAACAUAUUUAAAAUUAUUAAGAAUAAGUUAAAAAAAUUUUAGAUUUCCAAACAAACUUUUGUUAUGCAAAAUUCAAAGAAUAGUUUUUAAAAACUAUUUUUUAGAGUUAUUUUUUAAAACAAUUGCUAAACAUACCCGUAGAGUUUUUGGGAACAUAUUUUAGUAAACAGGUCUCCAAGAGCAUGGUAAAGUUCAUGGAUGCAUAUACCAAGUUGCUUUUACUUGUUUUAAGGAUUAUUUAAAGAAAUAAUUAUAUCAAGCAUAGUAAUUUUCAAUAUGAGAAUGAUUGAAAAUAAAAUAAUAUAAAAAAUAUAGAAAAUAACUUAAAAAAAUAUUUUAAGUUAUUAAAUAAAAUUCUAUUUUACAAAACAUUAUUAGUUUAAAAAACAAUUCUUAAAUACUGUUUUUUAAUUCCAAAAUCCAUGAUAUUUAAUUUUUUAUUUAAUUUUUUUAUUUGGAGAUGCGCAUGAUAUGGUAAGUAUUUCCAGGUAAGGGGAUAUUUACGGAAACAAACUCCAUCACAACCCACGUCUCCUUUCUCUUUGCUUCCCAUUUCUCAGCUUUCUCUCUCUAAAAUUCUCUCUCAUGGCGGCUUCUUUGGCUUCCGUUCCAAUCUCAGGUAUAUCUCCAGAUUUUUUCUUAGGCUGUUUUCUGUUCGGUUGCUGAGAAAAUGUCAGAAAAAUCAAAGAAAGAAAAUAUCUUUUGUUUGGUUGCUGAGAAAAUGCGAGAAAAAUAACAGAAAUUACAUACCUGCCAUUCAUUAUUUGGAAACCAAGAAAUCAGAAACCUCCACUCUGCUAGGCCUACUACAACUCUUUUGGCUUCGCUCAAGUGAUUUUUCCCUCCUUAUAUUUUCCUCACCUUUCUCAGCAACCAAACUGUAGCCCUGUUUUGAUUUAAUUAAGCAUAUGAAAAAUCUAAUAUUAAAGCCGAUUCAUAUUGCAUGGAUCUAUGAUGCCUUGUAGCAUGUAAGGCAAGAUGAGAAUCCUGAGUGCUGCUGCGCAAGGUGAAAUCAGGUGUAGAUGUAUGUGUUGAUUGUAGUGACAGUUAAUUCAAAAAUGUUGCCUCAUGGAAAAACAUUGUGGGUGGGCCAAUUUAUGCGUCAAGUUUGUUCUCUGUUACUUCGUGGUUCAUGGAAUUCUUAAUUUUUCUUGGUGAAGGAAUAGAAUAUAUCCAUCUGGGUUGUCAUCUUGCAUGAAACCCAUCUGGUAUUUGAUAGUGGUUCAAAAUUUCAGGUGUGGAAACUUAGAACUUAAUUAUUCAAUUAUGUCGAUUUAAGCUCAAUACUGGAUUUUAGAUGUUAAGCAAAAGUGUUAAUGAGAAUUGUUGAUAAAUGGAUUUGCAGGGUAGGUUGAUAAAUGGGAUAUCUCCCUUUGCUAAUACUUUUAUAUAAUUGCAAAUCCCUUUUUCUCUAACCAUCCAAAGCACCUUGUGGGAUGGUGAUCUAGCAGUAGUGUGUGGCAAAGUAGCUUUGUGGUCUCUUUCAUUAGGAACCAUACAGUUUUUGGUACAUCACAUUUAUACAUUUGUGAUUCAAAAGGUGUUUCAUUUAUCUGUAGCUUUGUUUGUAUCUCUCAUUUGAUAUUAGGUAAAGCAAACCUUAGUUUCUGUUUCCUUGGUAUUAAACUUUUUUUUCCACCUUUUGCAAUCACAAAAAGGAGAUGUGACAAUUAUAAUGAAUUAGAAUCAUUGGCGUUUAGCAAGAGGGCGGAGCAACCAAAGUAAAAAUCUUGGAGUUUAGCUGCUAAGGUUUUCUAAGAUUCAAUUGUAUAAAAUGUGUUUUUACAAAACUUUAUACAAAAUUACUUAAUUAGAUCUCAUUAUUCAUUUAUUUCAAAAAUCUUAUCCACUUUACAAUGGAAUUCUUUUUAUAUGUAAUUUUUUUUUGUCUUUUUUGCGUGAUAUUACUUGCAUAUGAAAAUUUUUUACAUAUAUUAUUAUAUUGUAGAUAUUUGAAUUGUCUCAUAAUAGGUAUGCUACCUUGGUAGCUAAAAAAAUUAAGGGAGCAAAAGGAAAAGGAACUGCAAUUUUAGGUCUAAGAUUUUUCAUUAUUUCAGAUCUGAGAAAACUAAUAAAACUAGAUCCAUUGCUCUAAUAUGUCUGACACCACAAUUCCGAUAAUCACACAUUUUAAAAAUAAGAUUUUGUUAAUAAAAGAAAGAAAAACUUAACUUAAAAUGUUUAUAAUGAUGUAAUAACAACUAGAUUUUCUUCUUUGUACAUUUCUAAUAAGAUGAUUAAUUUUUAGAAAAUCAUAAUGUAUGGUUUUAUUUUAUUUUUUUAUUGUUAAUCUCAAAGAUUUAAAUUUAAAAUUUUGCUUUUUGGAGAUACAUUAUUCAGUAAUUGUUACUAAGAAUUGGGGUAUUUAUGGAAAAGAACUCAUUUAUAACCCACUUUGCCUCUCCAUUUCUUUCCCAUUUCUGAGCUUUCUCUCUCUAAACUCUCUCAUGGCGACCUCUUUGGCUUCCUUUGCAAACUCAGGUAUAUCUCAAAUUUUAAGGGAGGUUUAUCUUAAAUGUUUAGGGUAUUUUUUAGGUUGUUUUCUAUUUGGUUUCUAAGGGAAUGAGAGAAAAAUCAAAGAAAUUGAAUCUCUUCCAAAUAUAUAUUUUUCAUUAUUUGGAAGCUAAGAAAUUAGAGAACUUAACUCGGCUAAGCCUAGUACAAAUGUUUAGUUUAAUCCAAGUGAUAUUUCUUGUUUUCCUAAAAAAAUUCCUUUCUUUUCUUUUCCUUGGUUUUGUUCUUUGCUACCAAAUGGAGAUUCCCCUAUAUACAUAUGUAUGUAUGCUUGUGUGUGGUUUCUAUUUUUUUUAUUGGAAACGACACAGAGAUAUAUUGAUAGAUAAAAAGUAGUACAAAAAGAAGGAUAAGAAAUCCUCCUGCCAAAGAAAACUAAAUUACAAGAAAUUACAUUGUAAAACAAGCAAACUCUCUAUAAAGGACCAUUCCUUAUGGAGUACACACCGCUAACCAAUCAAGUUGUAACACAUUAAGGGGAGUCCCUUUAAAAACCUUGGAACAGAAAGCCCAAAGUGUGUGUGGUUUCAUUUGGAAGAGUUUCUGUUUUCACAAAGGAUUAUGUGAGAACUUUACUAAUCCCAUUUUUUGAUUUUUUGAUUUUUUUUUUUUAAAUUUUUGGAAUUAAGGAUAUGAAAAUUCAACAUUAAAGCCAAUUCAUUUUGCAUGAUCUAUGAUGUGUUGUAGCAUGUAAGGUUGGGAGAGUAGAUGCAAAUCCUGAAUUCUCUUGAAGGGGAAAUCAGGGUGUAGAUGUAUGUGUUAGUGCCAGAGUAAUAGGUACAUUGAAACACUCGUUCUACCAUAUCUUAUGAGUUGUAGUUUUUGAUUGUAUUGGGCACCUAAUACACAAUAUUUUGUGAUGGCAAACCAUUAUGGUAAGGGCUAAAAUGGAAUUUCAGUCCAUGUUAUGUGUUAACUUUGUUUUCUUUUACUUUGGGACUUUUGUAUUCUUAAUUUUUCUCAUAUUUUAGUAGUAACUUUUGCUUAUCUCAGCAUUUCUCAUGAAAGUGAGUUUUAUUUGUCUACUGACUUGAAUGAUACUUUACAUUAGCAGGUCAGAUAUAGAUAUCUUGGAUUGUGAUUUGGUGUUAUGUCCUUUAUGAUUGAUCAGAUUCUUAUAAGAAAGGUUAUAGGGGUAUAUUCAAAGCUGAAUGAGGAAGAAAAAUAAAAAAAAUGGAAUCGGAUGCCCUUGAUUUUGAAGUAGAAGUUCCAAAUCUUCAACUUAUAAUGAGGCCUCAUAUAUUUGUUUAAUUUAUGAGGUGGCAGAGGUGCCUGUUUCAAACAUGAGAUGAUUCCACAGUGUUUGGCCUUGUAAAUUGUGUUGUGGAGCUUUAGUUACUUAAAGCCUUAUGAUUGUGCUUCAAGGCAUUUAUCUCAAGCUCACCUCAAAAUGAGCCUAGAGUUGUAAGUCUCAAAAUUGUUUAAAACUAUUCCUUUCUCUGAGACUGUUGAGAACUGUUCUUGUAAAAUUUGGAAUUGAUGCACAUGGUCUAUGCAUACAAGUGUAAGGUUCCUUGACAUACUUCAUUAAUGUUGCCUAUUUUUCGUGGUUAUUUAAAAGAAAAAUUAAUGGAGUGCUGUUGUUGGAAAGUUUCUGUUGUAUUGCACUUCAUUUGCCUUUAGGGUGUAAAAGAAGGGAAUUGGAUAGUUGGAGACAAUUUAACCAACCAUGUUGCCUUUUCCUAAAUUUUGUGAUAUAUAAACCCACAUCUGGAAAUGGACCUCCAUUCAACCAGUAUACUUGAGUCCUGGUAUCAUAUAUUUUAAAUGAAACUCAGAUUUGAUCUAGCUUUUUCUUUUUCUUUUUCUUUUUCUUUUUCUUUUUGAAAAGCAUUUUAGAACUGUUUUAUGUGAGAUCUUUUCUAUUUACUACAUUGUUGAUACAUCUAUAUGAUGGUUUGUAUAUCAUGAUAACUGCUUUUGUUUGGAUAUAGGUGGAUCUCAUUUGAAGGCACGUGAACUUUGGUCCACAAAGCCCAAUUCAUUUGGGAAAACACCAAGGCUGAUGAUUCAAAGGAAAUCGAACAGAAAUGUCCGCAAGUUAUCUGUUUGUGCAGAGCACAAGUAUGACAUGUUGAACUCCAUUUGUGUUAAAACAUUCCUUGAUAAGUCUCCUUGUUUAUGAAUUUCAAAAAGAAUGAAAAUGUUGUCUAUGAGUUAGGAGAUGGAAUUAGAGGAUGCUGUUGUAUAAGGAGAGUAAUCUACAUAUCACUUUGAAUUUAUUUGUUUUGAAAGUUUGAGUUUUGGCAAAAGGAAACUAUUAUGAAACAAAAAAAAAAAAAAAAAAAAAAACUUUGGAACACUAACACAUUCACUAGAAUUUUCAAGCAUUGCUCCACCUCUAGCAAGCACCAACCUCCAUUGGAUGCCGGUUCUCCUUAGUUUGUAUUGAUUUUGUGAACUGGACUAAAUGCUUUUUCUUUUAUUUAUUUUUUAUUUUUUUGCAAUUAAGUAAUUUAGUAUCCAUUUGAAUACACUUACUGUCUUAUAUUUUUUAAAAACAGAAAAUAGUAGUAACUUCUAUAUAUGUAAUCUUUUAUCACCUCAGAUUUUUAAAAUUUCAAAAGUAAUUUUUAAGGGUAUAAGUUAAGUCUAUACUUUUUGUGUGAGCGUUUCUAUUUUUUAUAUAAUAUUUCUAUUUUUAAUUGACGAGUCUUCUUGUAAGUAAACUGUGGAAUGGAAACCUGAAUGAAUUUCUAUUAUGAUUCUUUGAUUUCUAUGCAUCACCCUUCCGUUCCUUUUUAAUAACCAAAUAAGACUGUUUUUGGAUGGAAUUAAUGGUGGAACACCUUCUAUCCUGUUAAGGGUGGGAGGUAAAAGGAAGAUACUCUUUUUGCUUUUUCCAAUUGUAUUUCCUUUUAUUACUUAACCACUAUUACUGGGGAAGUUGAGUUGUUGUUGCUAAAAUUUAUAUAAGGCUCCUUGUAAAGAUAUGAUGUUUGAAAACCCAUUGUAGGGCCAAUAAGGAGUUGCUUUGACACUUGGAAAGAUUUGUAAAAUUGUACAUUGUUGUCUUUGUUGUCUAGAAGGUGAGGAAUAGAAAAUCUUUGAUAAUGAGGGGAUACCUAGGGAAAAAUAACAACUUGAAAGUUAUUUUAGCUUAUAUGUUUUUUACGAACAAGGGUAGACUUGAAGAGAUCCCUUAUCAUUUGACGGGAUUUGAAAAUAUCAAAUUGUGGUUGACUAGAAUAACAUCACACAUAAUUAUGUGUUUUAAAGAGGAUCUUUUCAAUUUUUGGUUGCAUAUUGGCUGAGAUGAUUUAUUGAUUGUACACUUCUAUAACUGUUGGGAGUUGAUGUGUGUGGGUUUUGUGUUAAAGGUGGAAGGUAAAAUUUAUUGUUCUAUAUGUAAAUGAAGCUGGUUCUUACUACCUCUCAUGCUUAGCAUUUGCUUGCUCUGUUUAAAAAUUGGAGACCUUAUUUAUCUGUCAUUUGAUGGAUUGUGCAGUGCUCAUCCUUUUCUUUUCAUUUGAUGUAUGUAGUGGUGGUAAUAAAGGUGGAGGUGGUGAUUUUGUUGCUGGUUUCCUUCUCGGAGGUGCAGUGUUUGGAACUUUAGCAUAUGUGUUUGCUCCACAGGUUAGUUAUACAUUUCCUUGCAUCUUUAUUAUUUAUGUUCUGUAAUUAAUACUCCAGCAAUUCCCGUGUGCAAGUAUAUAUUUGGCAGUCUGGUUGAGGACUGUAGGUCAACGAACUGCUUCCUCUUAUAUCUGUAAUAUGAAAAGGUAUCCACAUUGAGCAUGACUUAUUUUUUUUUGAUAAGUGUAAAUUUAUUAGAGUAAAAAUGCAGUAUACAUGAUGUAUACAAAGCAACCAAAAAGAAGCUCAGAAACACAAAAACCAGCAACCGCACCCUACUAAGAGCCCACAAACUCUAAGCAUGACUUAUUAUAAAAUUGCAACCAAACAACCAAACAAACCAUGGUCAAGUGAAGUUUUGCAUGGCACAAUCAAGCAAGGAUAGUCAAUAUUGAUAAUUUCUAAAAUAAAUGAUGUCCAAUUGAACAUUUUUAAGGAGAGCAAAUUAGUAGUUUCCUAUUUAUGUGCCAAGGAACAAUGAUUUUCAUUAUGAAAAUAUGAGAAAAUACGAGAAAAUACUAGAUCAUUCACCUGCCUUAUUUUUGCAUCUUCUUCUAUAAUUUUUUUUCUCUGAUUUACCCUACUCAAUGCUUUGAAUUGCGGUUGUAAGGAGUCCUUUGUGAUGCAGCUCUAUAAUUGAGUGUGAAAGCCAACAAUCAAUAAUUUGAUCACAGUGCAUAAUUCUGUUCUGAUUUAUGUAUUUACCUGGAGUCCAUAACUCAAUUGAAUGACUUGUUUGUGCUUUACAUGGUAUUUUAAGGUAAUGAUCUGUUAGUCAAAACAGUGGUGGUAAAGAAAAUUUGACCUGUCGAAUGGAUAAUAUGAUCUUUUGAAUUUUAUGAAAUGCUCAGAGUACAAACUUUACCAUCUUUUGUGCUUGUGGCACCCAUUUGCUAUAUUGACUCCAUUCACAAUGAUCAAUUUGUGCAUAAAAUUAUGUGUAGAGGACAAUCCAGCAAUUCAAUAUACACAGAAUGUUCAAGAAAGUGAUUGGUAGUUUGAAAAAUUGCUUCUUCGUUGAUAAUUGUUGUCUAUGUCUAUUGCUCUCUGCAUUCCAUCUAUUUCCAAAUGCCUGUGUCCAUAAUGAUCCACUUUUGCAACCCGAUCUUAAAGUUGCUUGCAUGCAUAAUCCAGUAUAUUGUUGUGACAUCAGGGGCAACUGGAACUUGCAUGAGAAAGCAUGUUAUUUCCCUCAUCCUUUGUGCUUGAAUCUUGUUCACUCUCUGUCAUAUUCCUCUUUGGGUUUUGGUUUAUGCUGUGUGGGGUUUGAUCCUGGUUUGCUCUGUUCUCUGACCAUUCAGAUUAGAAGAUCCCUGCUGAAUGAAGAUGAAUAUGGGUUUCGAAGAGCAAAACGACCAAUGUAUUAUGAUGAAGGCUUAGAGGUGAUUUGAAUACUAUUAGAUUCUGAAUGCAUCUUUUCCUACUAAUUGAAGUUUGCAUUUACUUUCCUUUAUUUAUUUAUCUUCCUUUUUGGCAAAGCAGAAGACCAGGCAGACGUUAAAUGCAAAAAUAAGCCAACUCAAUUCUGCCAUUGACAAUGUAUCUUCACGCUUGAGAGGCGGUAAUAGUUCACCUUCAGUACCUAUUGAAACCGAUCCUGAAGUCGAAGCUACAAUGUGAGAUUUUCUUCUGUUUGCUAAUGUCUUCAGCUUGUUUGAGUUUCAAAUCAACUGGUUAAAUCUUGAUAUGGACAAUGAAUUUUGAACUUUGAAAGAUCACAUAGUGCUGUAAAUUGAAUCUGCAACAAUGUGUUCUUGUCAUUAAUUUGCUUGGAGGUUGUUUUCUUAAGUUUUGUCUACAAAUUUUCAGUGCAAUAGUCAGCAUAUUUGAAGCUGCAUAAACAGAUUGUUCCUUUUAUUUUUCUUCUUGAUUAUAUUAGCUGUUUGGUUAACCAUACUAGUAGUCUUUUAGUGAUAGUCUGCAUAUUUGAAGCUGCAUAAACAGAUCGUUCCUUUUCUUUUCCUUGUCAAUUAUAUUAGAGGUCUGGUUAACCAUACUGGUAGUCUCUUAUUCAUAUUCUUUGUCUUCCACUGAGCAACCCUUGAGAAACAGCUUCGAAUGUUUCAAUUCUGUAACAGAAAUAUUGCUGUCUAAAGUCAGGAAGCCUUGCUAAUAUGGAUGGUCAUGAUUGAUCUCUCAUCCGAUUAAAAUAAGCUUUAAACCCAAAGGCAAUUGAGAAACUUCAUUAUCUUCUCCUUUUGCCUGUCAUACCUGGGAAGAGACAAGUUACAGUCAUCUAUAUCAUCAAUUGAAUCGAUACACUACUCUAAAAAAGGUAUUUACUCAAGUUAGUUCUUAAGCGUGGAUUGCCAUCAUCUAGGCACACUUGAACUGAGUCCUGAACUGUGUAAAAGACCAAUUUUCUCUAUUUCACAUAGCACCUUAAAUUUCAUAAGCCUUAGAUCGCUUAUUUUCUCCUCGGUCUAGAUUUGAGAAAGGAAGAAUCAUCAAGAACUGUAAGUAAUUCUACUGAAUGACAAUUGCAGAUAGGAUGUCGAUUGUUAGUUAAGCAUUCCUGACUACAUCAGGGGUAGAUGUGGUAUUCCCUUCCAUCAAUUGCCAUAACAAGUAGAUGCCCUUUGUGUAGUUUGAAAUCCUUUUAUGAUGACACUUAUCUAAUCAAUCGACACCAUUAGCUUGAUGAAUACAUUUCCCUUCAUUUUUUAAGCUUCUGUAUAAUUUCAUGUUGUGAAAGUCUGAAUGAUAUGAAUAUGAAUAGAAUUAUGAACUGACUUGACUUGCAAAGAGUUCUAUCUUGAAGUUUGCUAGCUCUUCUGAUUGAAUGCUUGUACUUGCUGGCUGUUGUAGAAUACAUAUAAUAACUGCUCCAAAAACUCAUAUAGGAACUUUCUUAUUAAGACAAUACACAUAGUAUAGUUGUUGCUGAGAUCAAUUAAAUCAUGAUUAGAGCCUUUACACAAUCUGGGUCCUUCAAAAGCUCGUAUGCUUUAGUCAUAUCUUCCAAUUGAACCUCAUGAGUCAAAAGUUCAUCAAGUUAAAUUUCCUGUGGGAGAGAAGAAACCUAAUUAGAGUUCAAAUGAAAUAGGUCUUUUAAACAGCACUCUCUUAGCUGUUAGUGUGAAAGAUUAUUUAAUACUCUUAAGGGUUUUCAGUAACACUAAACCAGAUACCUAGAAAUUCAGGAUACUUGGAACAGGUUUCCUAGGUGGUUUGAUGAGUUAAAAAACGUUCACCAUAUGGAACUUGCCUUGUUUAUGCAUUUUUCAACUAUAACAGGAAUGCCUGAUUGGACUUUGAUCCCUCCAAAGAUGGAUCCUUUCAUUGUUCUCCCAGCAAUGAGGGUCAUGAAAUCAAUCUGUACAGGCGCGUUCUUUCCUGCACCAACUACAGUCAACAUCCCUUUCCCCUGAUCUCCCAUGCAACCAUCAUAGAAGAAAACCUUAUUAGUAUUGUUUCCAAGUUAUUCUGCAUGGAAUAUAGAUUUGAUUCAUGUGAAUCUAGAGACAUACCGCUUUUGUUGCUUGAAGAGCUUCAUUGAUCAAAUUCAUAUAUCCAGUGCAUUCAAAACUAUAGUCCACACCCUCUCCUUCUGUCAACUCUUUAACCAGUUGUGAGAUGGUCUUAUCAGAUUCACUAGGGUUUAUGAAAUCAGUCAUUCCAAAAGCUUUUCCCAGUUCACGUUUCCUUUCAAUUAUGUCAAUCCCAAUUAUUCUGGUUGCCCCUUGAAUCCGAGCCCCUACUAGCACCUGCAGUUACAAUCAUAUCAAAACAUAUAAUGUCAAUGAAGUAAACAAUGUGAAGUUAUGUGAGCUUUGCUGCCAUGAAAGUCUUGAAACAUUUAGUUCUUUUUCCUUAUGCUGAAUAGAUUUCAUUAUUUGAGGGUAAACCUUGAAUCAGACAUUCCAGACUGUAAAAAGGGCUUGACAUGAAAGCAAAAGGACAAUGGUGCUUCUCAUGGACUCCGUUUUUAGAUUUUAUAGGAAUCUCACAGUAUCGAGAUUGUCUUUGGCGCUAUAGAGAGUAUGUACCCCUAAUCCAACAGGACCAAGACCCUGAACCGCGAUGCUUGAGCCCUUCUCAACCUUGGCCUCCUUCCAAGCUGCCCCAUAACCAGUUGAGAAGCCACAAGAGAUGAAGCUAGCAUCAGCCAUAGAAGCCCUGGGAUCAAUCUUGACAAGGUAGUUGGCAGUGGCAACCAUGUACUCAGUCCAUGUAGAGCAGCUAGACAAAUGGUAGAGAGCCUUUGCCCUUUGGCAGACAUUCUUGAGGUGCCAUCAGGCAUUAGCCCAUUGUGAAUUAGUGGGUGUUUUCUGCAUAGAUUGCUACUUCCUGAUAGACAAUUCUCACAUUCUCCACAUACUCCUACAUAGGUUGGGAUCACAAGGUCCCCUUCCUUCAAGCUUGUUACAUCUUCUCCCACACUCUCAACAAUACUGCAUUCACAUUGUGUUGUUUUCUUAUUCAUUUGGAUAGAAGAAUGAGAAAUUUGUGAGUUUUAGAUUAGAUCUUUGACGGGGUUGGUCUAUAAAAUCAUUCUUAAAACUGGGGUUGAGCUUGAGUUUGUUUUUUUUUUUUUUUCCCCAAGAAGCUGAAUCUAAUCCAAAUCCAAUGUAAACCGAAGAACUUCAUAAAUGGUAAAAACAUUUAUUGAUGGUGAAACACAAACUUUGAGUGUCAUUUUGGUUCUUAGCAAUUUGGAGAAAUAAGGAGAUUCAUGUUUUUUUCUCUAAGAAUAUUCUUAUUUAAUUAAAAUUUAAAUAUUAAUAUUAUCCUUAUUUUCAACAAAAACACUUUUAAAAUAAAGUUUCCAACUUUAUUAUUUUUACUUUUGCAUCUUCUAUUACUAAAUAUAAAGGAAUAAUUACUAUUUUAUUGUUUUUGCUCUUGCUGCUUCUAUUGCCUAAUGUGUAGAGGUCAGGCCUUGUCCCAAAGAAUGUUUAUAAUCCAUCAAUCAUCCCCAAAUUUAAUCUUUUCUUAUUUUUAGUUUUGCCUAUUUUAUUAUUUUUAUCCUAUUUUCAUUUAGUGGAAUUUAAAAGAAGAUCUGCAAUAACUUAAAACAAGAAUGAAUUUUAUAUCUAAGGGCCAAAUAAUUUCAUUUAAAGCUUUUAUAUGCAGAGUCUCUUCUGACUCUCCGAAAACAAAAUGUUAUUAAAAGUUAUAUAAAAUGUUUUUUAUAUGCAAUCUUCCCAAUGUGUAUAUAUAUACAUUCAUAAUCUUCCCAAAGACCCAUUUUCAAGUUCCGUCACCUAACUUUCCAAAAUCUGGUAAAACCACAACAUUGACUAGUCUGUAGACUUCUUGAGAACUGCAAUUGUUGCAACUGUGUCAUUUUCAAUUCUCCAUCUCUCUCUCUUUGAGUUCAAGUCUCUCCUCUCUCUCACAGUUCAAUUCUCUCUCUCUCUCACAUAGUUCAACUCUCUCUCUCUGUCGCAUAUUCACACCUGAAACCCACAAAAAUUCCAAUAUUCUCUCACCCGAAACCCACAAAAACUCCAAUAUUCUCGCUCUCUUUCUCUCUCCUCUCUCCCCAUCAACUCAACUUUUCCCUCCCUCCCUCCUUUCUCUCUUUCAAUCAUAUCUGCUUCCCCUAAAACCCACAAAAAAAUCCAAUCCUCUCUCUCUCUCUUAACCACAUCCACAUCACCUGCAAUCCACAAAAAUUCCAUUAUUCUCUCUCUCAAUUCAUCUCUCUGUCAGUCAUAUCCACUGAGCGAUUGCACAGAAAUUCCAAUAUUCUCACUAUCUCUCUCAAUCCAUCUCUCUCUAUCACUCAUAUCUACUUCGUGUCAGACGGAAAAAAAAAA
rnacentral:lncRNA from 1 species